rnacentral:lncRNA from 1 species
ACCACACCAAAUAGAAGUUGGAGCUACUGCCUCAUGAUGACCUCCACUGAGUGCAGUGUUAACCAAGCAAGAAGGAAUAUGACCAGAUAGAUUAUUAUGAGAAAGAUCAAUCAACCGCACUUCCUUCAACUGGCAUAAUUGAACUGGUAUUUCGCCUUUAAUAUAAUUAUGAGCUAAAAGAAGGUAGUUUAACUGAGGUAGUCUGUCAAUCCGAUUUGGAAUACUUCCGUGUAAGCGGUUAUAACUAAGAUCUAAUGUCACCAAAUAAGGGCUGUCAUGGAUUAUACUUUCCAACCGUCCUUCUAUCUUGUUUUUUGACAAAUGAACUUGUUCGAUAUGUGCUGGACUAAAACAAGAUGGUAACGUUCCAAAAAUAGAAUUGUUUGAAAGGUCUAAAAUCUUCAGAGCACUAAGCUGACAAAACUCGAUUGGAAUUGGUCCUUCAAGAUUGUUAUUGGGCAUUCUAAUACCUUCUAAAGCUGACAAAUUACCCAACCAUCUUGGAAUCUCACCAGAGAGAUGAUUAUCACUCAGAUACAAUCCUCCCAACAAAUAACACUUAGAUAAGCUUUCUGGGAUCUCUCCAAUGAAUUUAUUACCAUCCAACUGCAACCUCAUCAAAUUUGUCAAGUUAAAUUUUUUAGAGAAUAUAUGACCUUGCAAACUGUUGUUUGACAAUGCAAGAAUUUUUAAUGAGAAGCAACCGGUGGCCAUGCGCUCAGGGAUUUCACCAGUCAACUGAUUGUCAGAUAUGUCCAACCUUUCCAACAUUUUCAUAUCAGCAAAUGAAGAGGGAAUGCUACCGUUGAAAGCGUUUCUAGAUAAGUUUAAAUCCAUUAAACCUGGCAGAUAUGUUCCGAUUUCUACCGGAAUAUGGCCGUGAAAGAAAUUGUUGGAGACAUCCAAAGUUGCUAAAUUCUGGUGGGAAUGAAUUGGCAUUCGAAAUGAUCCAAAAAGAGAGUUAUUGGCAAGAAGAAGCAUCACUAAGUUUGUAUUGUUUUCUAGCAACCAAUUUGGAAAUUGUCCACUCAAGUUAAGGUGUGAGAGAUCAGCAUUCUUCAAGUCAUGCUGAUGGUACAUGCUGAUGGUACAGAAAUAGGGAUUUGGAAGAAGUGAUUAUUUGAAAGUAUGAGCUUUUCAAUAGAUAUUAGAUGCAUGAUGGGAGAUGAGGAGAUGUUUUCAGUAAGUUGAUUGUAAGAGACAUCUAAUACUCGAAGGGAAGUCAAAUUUGCCAAGCACCAUGGCAAGCUACCUCUCAAAUCAUUACUGCUGAUGUAUAACUCUUGCAGAUGCACUAACCGACAAAGUCCUGAAAAAUAUAAUUGCAUAAAACUUAAAUAAUUGCAUAAAAUCUUUAAAGUACAUAUUAAAAAUUAAGUUUGAUCACUGAUAGUUGAACAGUAGAAUCUGACGUAAUGGCAACAAAACAAUUGUAAAAUUAUACGGCGUUAUAGUGUUAAGUAAAAAAUUAGCAUUAUUUUUCAAUCAACACUACAACAGCACACUAUUUUACAGUAGUUCAUUAUUAUGGCUCCCUAUCAUCUUUCACUAAGUUUAUAAAUAGCUAGCAUUUUAGGUAUUCUCAAUUAAAUUUAGUUAAGAUGCGCGAGAGGGAGAAAGAGAAUCAUUAAUUAACCUUGAUCAAGAAUGGUGUUUUUAUUAAGACUUGAAUAUGUCAGUGAUAAAAACUUCAGAGAAGGCAUCGAUUCGCCGACAAUUUGAAGAAAACUGGUGUUGACGUCAACCUGCACCUCACCCAUGUCCAGAUUUUCCAAAUUCUUGAAUUUACGAAAAUCUGCAAGCAAUAAACAAGAAAUGGUCAUAAUUUCACAUAAUGCAAGGGAAUAAGGAUAAUCCGGUCCUGUUCUUUUCUUUUUUUUGGGUUAAUUUACUUAUUUUUCUUUACUCUUCUAAGCGAUCGAAAUAUGCUUAACAUAACAGAACUAAAAUUUCAUUAACCUUAAUCAAGAAUCCUACAAUUUAGAGAAGGUAGAACUAUUGGAUAGUGAAAAUAUAUAAAAUUUAAAAGAAAAAAUAUUAUUUUACGGGAGAAAAUUAACUUGAAAAGAAAGAAUCAUUAUCGAAUUAAUAUCACAAAAGCUUCAGAUACCCGUAAUUUACCUUGACCAUGCAGGGCACCCUUGAGUACACUAUCUUGCAUUGACAAAUACUUUAACGAAGUGAAUGAUGCGAUGCUUUGCAGAAGCUGGCUUACGUGGAGAUCAGACUCGUCCAAUAUCAAUUCUUCCAAGUUGGUCAAAUUGUGCAAUUCUAUUUACAAAGAAGUGGAAGCAACAAAUUUUAGCUAUAUAUAUUAAUUCAAUUAUUUUCGACAUAAAAGAUUUACUUACCUUGAUUAAUUACUGUUCCCGUAAAAUUAGUAUACGAAAGGUAAAGUGUUUUGAGGGACGGUAGUGAUCCUAUUGAUUGCAACGCCUUACUUCCAUCUAUCAUUGCAACUUCCGUUCCCCCUAAGACAAGGGUAUUCAACUUCCUCAAGCCUCUGUAAUCUGUUUGGGAUACAAUUUCGGAUUAAAUUAUUUUGGAUAAGUGUCAUUGGGCAUUCCCUAAUCAAAUCAAUUAAAUUGUCCUCCAAAUUAUUAAUAUUUGAACAUUUUGUAUACCUUUAGGAACCACUAGAUUGUCGAUUGCAUUGGCGCUCAUGUCCAGCUCCUCCAAGUUACUCAAGGAAUUCAGUCCUGCAUUUUUGCCAACACUUAAAACAGGGUUAAUUAAAUAACUUAUUUUCUUCUUCUUUGUUUUAAAUCUCGGCGCAAAAGAAUUUUAUUAAUAAGCAAAAAAGUACACGGCUAAUCCGAAAAACCUAAAAAGUAGUUGCCAAGGGCCUGACCGAUGAUUUUAAGUAGGUAUAUUUGUCUGACAACGGCGAAUUUAAAUUUGUAAGGAAUAAAAAUUUAUUUCAACUUUACCUAUUGCUAUACCUUAUUCUUGUUUCAAAAAAUUUACUUAAUUAAUUAAGUAAAUACAAGUUGGUUUAUGGAAGCCAAUAUCUGAUCCCUUCACACUAACCAAAAUACUAAAUUCAGCGCACAAAUUUAUAUAUAGGCAGAUAAAUAAGAUGCAUGUUAUUAUGGCUUACCUUGAACAUCAAAACUUUUUUUUUUUUUUGAAUCUAAUCCACUCUCAGGAUAUAAACUCGUUAACAAAGAAAGAGCAUUAGAAAAAUCAAAAAACUACAAUGUCGAUUUCCGUUUAGUGUACAAUUCUUUACUUUUGAAGACAGGACAUACGAAAUAAUUAGAUUGAAUUGUGUCUGAUUAUGAGAAGCAUUGAAAAUUGCGUAUAUUGAUAAUUUCUUAAUCCUAUUUUUAUAAUAUUCACAGCCUCGAAGCUUAAACUAGCAAGAGUCUAGCUAGAUCUCGUAUCAAUACUUCCAGCUGGUCGAUGAAAUAAGAUCCACAAAGAUGGGACACGGGAGAAGGGAUGAAGCUUGCUUACCUUUAAUAUCAAUACUUCCAUUCAAUCGAUUAGCAGCCAAUAAUAAGUGUCUGAGUGAUGAAAGACCACCUAGAGAUGAAAAGAUGCUGUUGUUGAAGUAGUUAAAGCCUAAAUGAAGAAACUUCAAGUUGUUCAACCUUGAUAACCUAUCUAGACCUGCCAAAAAAUAAAAAAUAAAACCUAAUUUAAUUGUAUCACGUACAAAUUAAACAAAAGCCAAAAGGGAUCAGAUAAAUGCUAGAAAUUACGAGGGAGAAUUAGAGUAGAGUAAAUUGAGGACCUUCAUUUUCAACACAACCGGCUAUAUUGUUCCCAGUUAAAUCAAGAGAUUCUAAUUGUUGAAAUUGAGAAAACAGAUAAGCAUUCAUAUGCCACUCCGCUGAUUCCCAAUUCCUAAAUUGAAGAUCUAAUUUAAUCACUCUGCCAGUGGUGUUGUUGCACUCAACCCCUUCCCACUGACAACAAUCUGAAAAAUUCUCAUCAUCUCCCGCGUCUACCCAGUUUUGAAGACGUUGAUCAUCAUUGAAGAAAUGUUUUGAGUUUGAGGAGAGCAGACCUCUAGACUUUAACGAUUACUUUGCAUGAGUCCUUGAAUAUUGACCAACGAAUUUCUUUAUUGAUUGCAACGAUAAGUGUCAUUGGGCAUUCCCUAAUCAAAUCAAUUAAAUUGUCCUCCAAAUUAUUAAUAUUUGAACAUUUUGUAUACCUUUAGGAACCACUAAAUUGUCGAUUGCAUUGUCGCUCAUGUCCAGCUCCUCCAAAUUACUCAAGGAUUCCAGUCCUGUAUUUAUUCCAACACUUAAAACAGAGUUAAUUAAAUAACUUAUUUUCUCAUUUUUUUAUGUUAAAUCUCAGCGAAAAGAAUUUUAUUAAUAAGAAAAGAAUAUGGCUAAUCCGAAAAAUUUAAAGCAGCUCUCAAAGGGUUCGACUGAGUGGCUUUAAGCAAGUAUAUUUAGCUGACAACCAUGAAUUUAAAUUUGUAAGGAAUUAAAAUUUAUUUUAGCUUUACCUACUGCUAUAUCUUUUUCUUUUUUCUUAAAAAAAUUAAAAUAGAUUAAACACGAAAUUUUAAUUUGUUAAAUAUUAAAUGUCGUUAAUUAAUUAAUUAACUAAAUACAAGUUGGUCUAUGGAGGCCAAUAUCUGAUCCCUUCACAAUAACCAAAAUAUUAAAUUCAGUGCACAAAUUUAGAUACAUGCAGACAAAUAAGAUGCAGGUUAUUAUGGCCUACCUUGAACAUCAAAAUUUUUUUUUUUCAAUCCAAUCCCUCUUAGGAUAUAAACUCGUUAACGAAAAAAGAGCAUUAGAAAAAAUAAAAAGCUACGAUGUCGAUUUCCAUUUAGUGUACAAUUCUUUACUUUUGAAGACAGGACAUACAAAAUAAUUAGAUUGAAUUGUGUCUGAUUAUGAGAAGCAUUGAAAAUUGCAUAUAUUGAUAAUUUCUUAAACCUAUUUUUAUAAUAUUUAAAUCCUUGAAGCUUAAACUAGCAAGAGUUUAGCCAAAUCUUAUAUCAAUACUUCCAGCCGGUCAAUGAAAUAAGAUCCCCAAAAGAUGGGACACGGGAGAAGGGAUGAAGCUUACUUACCUUCAAUAUCAAUACUUCCAUUCAAUUCAUUAAUACCCAUUGAUAAGUGUUUGAGUGAUGAAAGACCACCUAGAGAUGAAAAGAUGCUGUUGUUGAAGUGGUUAAGGGUUAAAUCAAGAAACUUCAAGUUCUUCAAACUUGAUAACCUAUCUAGACCUGUCAAAAAAUAAAAAGUAAAAAAUAAAAAAUAAAACAUAAUUUUAUUGUAUCACGUACAAAUUAAACAAAAGCCAAAAGGGAUUAGAUAAAUGUAAGAAAAUACGAAGGAGAAUUAAAAUAGAGUAAAUUAAGGACCUUCAUUUUGAACACAACCGGCUAUAUUGUUCCCCAUUAGAUCAAGAGACUUUAAUUGUUGAAAGGGAGUAAACAGAGAGGCAUUCAUAUACCACUCUGCUGAUUCCCAUUUUCGAAAUGCUAGAUCUAAUCUAAUCACUCUGCCAGUGGUGUUGUUGCACUCAACCCCUUCCCACUGACAACAAUCUGAAUAAUUCUCAUCAUCUCCGGUGUCAACCCAGUUUUGAAGACGGUGAUCAUCAUUGAAGAAAUGUUUGAGUUGGAGGAGAGCAGACCUCUCUUGCUCCAAACACCCCUCACUCCACCACCCUUUUACUACUAAUAAUAUGAAAAUUAACUCACUCACCCACACUCUUUUUGAACCACACAUUAUAUCUUCUUAAUUACAAUCACCUACACACACUCUUUUCUCUUCUGCAACAACGAGAGGAUAGUUCUACGCUAUUUAUAACCAAUUGCACUGAUGAUACUCCCAGCUUUUAAUUGACUUUGUCUAAGUCUUGCAUGCGUUUUUCUUCAUUUCUUUUUAUUUUUUCUGUUAAUAUAUAAUAUGAUUGUAAUAUAUUUUUAUUUAAUUCAGUCAACUGAAAAUAUUUCCUCUCCGUCCAUAAAUAUCUGCACAGCCUGGAUUCUGACGGAAUCUUGGGCAACGCGGGUACCCAAACUUCACUAGACAAGCUUAUGGGCUAGCUCAAAACUUGGAUUUUUAUGAAGAAUAUUAUAAAAUAUCUAUUAUUUUGUUCAUUUGGUCCACUUAUUAUCUAUUUUUAAAAUUUUAAACAUUUAAAACUCAUAUUUUUAAUUCCAAUUUCAUUAAAAUAAAAUUUGAAAAUAUAAAAUUAUAAAAUAAAUUAAAUAUAUAUAAUAUUAUAAAAUAUAAAUUCUAGGUUUUUUAAGUUUUGAUUAAAAAAGUCCGAGUGUUCAAAAAAACAUGCUUAGGCCAGAUCUGGGUAAUACCAUACCUAAGAACGGUCGGAGUUUUUUUCCAUCCCUACCAUCCUUACACACUAAUAAUUGGCUGAAUUUAAUCAAACUCUCGAUUUGCUUUCACAUUAUCUUGGGUUUGAAACUUCACAGGUACCUAUAUAUCCCUUGAAUGAGAGUAGAUUUUCACCUAAAUUUGAAUGCAAACAUGUGCGACACGUCCUGGUCUAGGGAGAAUGAAUAGGAUGUCUUCAUAGGGCCAUAACUUGAGUAAUUGGUAUUUGUCUUAGGCUCAUAAUAUAUCAUUAUGAAGUUCUCCAAGAAAGGAGAGUGAGUCAAAGUUACAUUUUCAAUAUGGGUUGGCAGAUCGUCGCCAAAUUUCUCUUGGACGCUUCUAUUUUUGCCUGAAGAUAUCUUUCUUAUUUUUGAUAUUCUUGUUGGAUUUUUAUCUAUUUUUGUCAAUAUUUGAUUUAAGUGUCAUAUAUUUUUAAUUUGUUUUGGCAACUUAAAUUUUUAUUAUGCCAUGCCAAUUCAAAUUUACUUAUUUUGAUAAAUUGAUGUACUUUAGGAUUUAGUAUAAAAGGCUGUUAAAAUCCUAGUUUGUUAUUUAUACUCGUAAAAACAUAUUUUUAGAUUAGGAGACUUGUGAUCACUACUCAAAUACUAAAAAACCCCUAUAACUAAUUAAAUAAUAAGAAUACGGAAGUUAAAAUAAAAGGAUUUUUAAAUCUGUCCUAGAUGACACGACAAGUGACUAUUUAUGAUGUUACCCAAAAAAUUAAAAAUAAAUGCUAAUCUCACCGAACCUCUAGACUUUAACGAUCACUUUGGAUGAGUUCUUGAGUAUUGAGCAACCAAUUUCUCUUCUCCAUUUAUUUAUUUCACUAUAUUUCACACAUCACCCUGAUUACAAUUUUAUUUUAUUUUAUUCUUCCAAUUCAGUCAACAAGAAAAUAACAUGUAAUUUAACAAACCCUUUACCAAGUCUCGGUCUUAUGCUGAUCCCUGUAAUAGCGCUUGUAUUUGUUAUAUCAACAUUAUUUGUUGUCACGAAGAGGGUGAAGGGUCUUCUUUCUUUCUUGGAAGUUCAUGAAGGAAAUCAAAUUUUCUUUUCUUAAUUUCUUGCAUUUGGAACACAAAUAAUCUAAGCGUUUUCUAUGCAUACACAUGUUUUACACGUUAGUUGAUUUGAAUUGACCCCAAAUCGCGAAACAUUGGUCCUUAAUCCUCUCUCUCUCUCUCUCUCUCUCUAAUUACUAAAUAAGUGAAAUUAUCAUUGAAAAUUUUAAGCAACAAACCAGCAAUUUUACAUUAAAAAAAAAAAAAUUGAUAGUAAAGAAUGACCUGGUCAAUCUUUAUCCACUAUGGUAGUUUUCAACAGCUUUACAAAAUAAGUGGAAGCCAAUUAUUUCAAUUAAAAGUCAUGGAUGUUAAGACCGAAAAAAAAAAAUUAAAAGUCAUGGAUAACGACAAAAUUACCUAAAACAAAGGACACAUUGCAUUAAAUUUCUAAUAGUACUCAACUAUUAACCUUUUUACAACGACACAGUAAAAGACCACCGCCGAGGUUAUAUUUUCCGGCGUUUUGUUUUACGAUGGGACAAUUCGUAUUCUAGAAAAUAAUCUGAACACUCAUAAUCUAAUAAAAUUUACAAUGAUGCUACACAUUCUAAAUUUUUUAUCCCAAAAAGUUAUCCCAAAUGAUAUGGCAUUUAUCAAUUGGUUGGUGAGAUAAUAUAAUUAAUUCACUUGGAUCUUGUAAAGAAUUAUCAACCAAUUGAUAAAUGACACAUCAUUUGGAAUAACUUUUUGGGAUAAAAAAAUUGGGAUGUGUAGCAUUAUUGUAAAAUUUAUUCUACGCUGAUAAAUUAUUGGUUAUGCAAUUUACCGAUUAUAGACAAUUGACUUAAUAGAUUUAAUAUCUUUUUACGUAUGUUCUUUGGUCAAAAAAGAAAAUCUGAUUCUAUCUCCCGUAAUUUUUUUAAAAAUUUUUUUCUAACAUUUUCUCAUCCUCGAUUUCACAGGUAAAUUUCUAUGCUAACAAACUGUUAUUUUAAAAAAAAAAGUCAGACAAACAAAUAAAUAAUUAGGUUGCUGUUUAUCUUAAAGGAUAAAUAACAAGAAUUGGGACUCCAUGUCCUUGAGCAAAUUCAGCGAGUGAGGAAAAAAAAAAAUAAAGUUUUGAAUAAUUUUUGCGUAAACAAAGUUUAGUCAUAAGCAUGCAUGAAUGUAAUCACUAGGGCUACUAUGGGUGUUGCGGGGUGUUGACUUUUGAAGAAAGAGAGCUUUAACAAAAGAAACUAAUUUCUGUGCAAUUUUGGGACUUUGAUGAGUGUGCAGAGUAGAAAUUUAAUUUUCAAAUUCAACGUCGGAAUUUCUGAACUCUUUUGAGUAAAUGAUUGUGCAAGGUAUUAUUUAUACUUCAGCAUAAAUUUUAUUUUAUUUAACUUUGAAAAAUUAGGGAAAAUAAUUUGGUUACAAUCUUUAGAAUUAGAUAGAACCUCCCUCAAGUAUCGUGUCCAAAAACUUAUUCUUAUAAUAACAUUAUGUAUUUGUCCUGUUAACAUAAUUUUGUCACCGUCCAGAAAGAGACGAAAGGCACUCUCUUUCAUGGAAAUUCAUGAACGCAUGAAAGCAAAUCAAACCGUUUUAAUUGCUUGGAAGUUAGGUAUGUAAUGUCUGCUCAUGUUUUAUAAUUAUAAUUGACUUUGAAUCAAGAAAUGGCCUCUUUUCUCUUUUAUUUCAAUGACCAGUUAAAUAAAUUAUUUUUAAAAAAAAAACAACAGAGAAAAUUGAAAGCAAGAAAAAAUUAAGUAAACGACAAACUAAACUGAAAUGCCAGUAAUCAAAUGCAAAGAAGACCCCAUUCAAAAAAAAUAAAAUGCAAAGAAGACCUGCUUCGUCUUUGAUUAUAAUUUAUAAUGAUUAUCAUUCAAUGUGCUUUUCAAGAGCUAUUGAAUACAACUUUAAUUGUUCAAUUCAAAGUUAUGCAUAUUGUUGAUGCCGAAAUCCGAACGAGUUGGUUAGUGACUCAAUUUUAGAUCCCUGCAUCAGCAUUAAAUUUGUUUGGUGGGAAGCUGCUGGUUGAUCUCCAGGAAUAUUCUCUGACUAUGAGCAGAACAUUCAUGAGCAUAUAAUCUUCAAGCUGACGAUAUAUAAGUACUUAAAAUUACAGAGAAUGGUCAGAGGCGCCAGAAGUUUUUCUGGCGUAAACCCUCCGACGCCCAAGUCAGUUUAUGGGUUUACGGGAAAAACAAAAUAUGUCAGUUCCUAUUUUUAUGAAGAAAAAUAAUCUUAAGUAAAUGUAAUAAAAGAAUAAAAUAAAAAUUCAGAAAGGAAAGUCCCCCCUUGGCGUGAUUUUCUUGGGGUUUUUAUAACACCUUCUACCCACGUCCUUAGGUCGUGACAAUAACAAUUAAUUGAUCAAAUUUGUGCCCUGAUUUUUCGGAUGAGGUUUGUGGUGGUUUAUUUUGACUGAGUCUUGUUUCCUGGUCAUCACCUGAUCUAGGUGGUCUGCUCGAGAUCAUCAAAAUUACCACCUAGUCGAGGUCAUCUGCUUAAGCUCAUAGCACCUAGUCAUCAGCUCAAGCUCAUACCACCUAGUCAUUAGCUCAAGCUCAUAGCACCUGAUUGAGGUGAUCUGCUCAAACUCAUAGCAUCUAGUCGAGGUGGUCUACUCAAGCUCAUAGCACCUGGUCGAGGUGGUCUGCUCAACCAUUUGCUCACUUUUACUUGGAGGAGAUCAUGGUCACCGUAUUUAAUUUCCCAAACAGAUAUAUUGAAAAGGGGAAUAUUGCUUUCAACCAGCAAUCUAACAUAUUUUGAAUGUAGGCAAUCUAACAUACUUUGUUAAGAGAACUCCUAACAGAUUAAAUAUUGCUUUCAACAAGCAGUCUAUCAUAUUUUAAUCGAUCAAUUCAAAGUUAUGGAGAGUAGAGUAAUGUUAUGAAUUCUAACAGUUAAGUUCUAAUUGAUGUGUGGUAUUAAUAUAUUAUAUAUUGAAUUUUAUGACUAGUAAAAUUAAUAUUCUACCGCUUUAUGGAUAAUUACUACACUAAUUGGGACCAAAUUAAGAGUUGAUUGUCAGGAUCCCAAACACUACUAUGCGAAGGAAUAUAUUGGGCAUUAACAAGUCAGUUGGAGCGAGCAAAAAAUUUAACCCAUUUACAAAACAUCGGAAUUCUUUUCACAACAGAAGCAUUCUUGUCACUGGCAAUCAAACAACCAUUCCGUCCCUUUCUCCGCUCAAUAUCUUCGUAAAUUGUUCAUAAUCUUAGCCUUUGAUAGUAAGUUGUUUUUUCUUAAUUGUUCAUAACCUUAACCUUUGUUUAAACAAAUGUUUCAUAGUAAUCUCUUAUUUUGAUAACUAGUUAGGGCAGUUUAAUAAUACUGUAGCUUUUAAAAUAAUUAAUGUUAGUUGUAAUGUAAAAAUAAUUAGUUGUGAGGAAAAGUAAGUUGUUAAAUUUUAUUUAUUUUUUUUGUGCAAUACUAGAUACCCCAGCAUUUAAGUCCCAAUUUUGUUCCACAUAAUAUGGAAUUUAUCAAGUGGUUAAGUAAUUUUACAAAUUAUGAAAUCUAUCAUUCAAUAGAUAAGUGAUACAUAGCAUUAGAAUUCAAAUACUAGGAUCCCUAUCAUCAUUAUUAAUAAAUCUUAUUCUCCAAAUCAAAAUUUGAAAAACUAUUCCUUUUUUUUAUUCAAAAGAUGCAAUAGCGUGUAGUGGUUUUAUCAUAAGUGGCACUCAUAAAAAUAUAUUUUUAGAUUAGGAGACGUGUGAUCACUACUCAAAUACUAAAAAACCCUAUAACUAAUUAAAUAAUAAGAAUAUGGAAGUUAAAAUAAAAGAAUUUCUAAACCUGUCCUACAUCACACGACAAGUGACUAUACAUCAUGAUGUUAGCCAAAAAAUUAAUAAUAAGGAGCUUGUUACCUUACAUAGUAAUGUAAUAUACAUAAUUGUCUUGUAAUCAUUUGAUGAAAAUCAAACGCUGUAAAAAAAAAAGAUUCUAUUACUUUAUAUUUUUAUAGUCGUUCGAUUUUCAUUGAACGGUUACAUGACCAUUGUCUACCUUACAUUAUUACGUAAGAUAACAAUUGCCUAAAAAUAAAUGCUAAUCAUACCUAACCUCUAGACUUUAACGAUCACUUUGGAUGAGUUCUUGAAUAUUGAUCAACAAAUUUCUCUUCUAUAUUUAUUUAUUUCACUACAUUUCACACAUCACCCUGAUUACAAUUUUAUUUUAUUUUAUUCUUCCAGUUCAGUCAACAAGAGAAUAACAUGUAAUUUACCAAACCCUUUAUCAAGUCUCGAUCUUAUGCUGAUCCCUAUAGUAGCACUUGUAUUUUUCAUAUCAACGUCAUUUGUUGUCAUGAAGAAGGUGAAUGGUCUUCUUUUUUUCUUGGAAGUUCAUGAAAGGAAAUCAAUUUUUCUUUUUUUAAUUUCUUGCACUUGGAAUACAAAUAAUCUAAGCGUUUUCUUUGCAUAUUAGUCGACUUUGAAUUGACCCAAAAUCGCGAAACAUUGGCCCUUAACCCUCUCUCUCUCUCUCUCUCUUUAAUGACUAAAUAAGUGAAAUUAUCACUGAAAAUUUUAAGCAACAAACCAGCAAUUUUACAUUAAAAAAAAUCGAUAAUCAAAUGUAAAGAAUUACCUGGUUAAUCUUUAUCCACUGUGGUAGUUUUCAACAGCUUUACAAAAUAACUGUAAGCCAAGUAUUUCAAUUAAAAGUCAUGGAUAACAAAAAAAUUACCUAAAACAAAGAACACGUUGCUUUUAAUAAUAUACGAUAUAGGUGCAUUAAAUUACUAAUAGUACUCAACUACUAACCCUUUUACAAUGACACAGUAAAAGAGCACCGCAAAGAUUAUAUUUUCUGACAUUUUGUUGUGCGAUGGGACAAUUCAUACUCUAGAAAAUAAUCAGAACACUCAUAAUCUAAUAAAAUUUAUUUUACGCUGAUAAAUUAUUCGUUAUGCAAUUUACCGUUAUAGACAAUUAGACUUAAUAGAUUUAAUGUCUUUUUACGCAUGUUCUUUGCUCAAAAAAGAAAAUCUGAUUCUAUCUCCCUUAGUUUUUUUUUUCUAACAUUUUCUCCUCCUCGAUUUCACAAGUAAAUAUUUAUGCUAACAAACUGUUAUUAAAAAAAAACAGAUAAACAAAUAAAUAAUUAGGUUGCUGUUUAUCUUAGAAGAACAAAUAACAAGAAUGUCCAAAGUAUUAUUUAUACUUAAGCAUAAAUUUUAUUUUAUUUAACUUAAAAAAAUUAGGAAUAAUAAUUUGGUUACAAUCUUUAGAAUUAGAUAGAACCUCCCUCANNNNNNNNNNNNNNNNNNNNNNNNNNNNNNNNNNNNNNNNNNNNNNNNNNNNNNNNNNNNNNNNNNNNNNNNNNNNNNNNNNNNNNNNNNNNNNNNNNNNNNNNNNNNNNNNNNNNNNNNNNNNNNNNNNNNNNNNNNNNNNNNNNNNNNNNNNNNNNNNNNNNNNNNNNNNNNNNNNNNNNNNNNNNNNNNNNNNNNNNNNNNNNNNNNNNNNNNNNNNNNNNNNNNNNNNNNNNNNNNNNNNNNNNNNNNNNNNNNNNNNNNNNNNNNNNNNNNNNNNNNNNNNNNNNNNNNNNNNNNNNNNNNNNNNNNNNNNNNNNNNNNNNNNNNNNNNNNNNNNNNNNNNNNNNNNNNNNNNNNNNNNNNNNNNNNNNNNNNNNNNNNNNNNNNNNNNNNNNNNNNNNNNNNNNNNNNNNNNNNNNNNNNNNNNNNNNNNNNNNNNNNNNNNNNNNNNNNNNNNNNNNNNNNNNNNNNNNNNNNNNNNNNNNNNNNNNNNNNNNNNNNNNNNNNNNNNNNNNNNNNNNNNNNNNNNNNNNNNNNNNNNNNNNNNNNNNNNNNNNNNNNNNNNNNNNNNNNNNNNNNNNNNNNNNNNNNNNNNNNNNNNNNNNNNNNNNNNNNNNNNNNNNNNNNNNNNNNNNNNNNNNNNNNNNNNNNNNNNNNNNNNNNNNNNNNNNNNNNNNNNNNNNNNNNNNNNNNNNNNNNNNNNNNNNNNNNNNNNNNNNNNNNNNNNNNNNNNNNNNNNNNNNNNNNNNNNNNNNNNNNNNNNNNNNNNNNNNNNNNNNNNNNNNNNNNNNNNNNNNNNNNNNNNNNNNNNNNNNNNNNNNNNNNNNNNNNNNNNNNNNNNNNNNNNNNNNNNNNNNNNNNNNNNNNNNNNNNNNNNNNNNNNNNNNNNNNNNNNNNNNNNNNNNNNNNNNNNNNNNNNNNNNNNNNNNNNNNNNNNNNNNNNNNNNNNNNNNNNNNNNNNNNNNNNNNNNNNNNNNNNNNNNNNNNNNNNNNNNNNNNNNNNNNNNNNNNNNNNNNNNNNNNNNNNNNNNNNNNNNNNNNNNNNNNNNNNNNNNNNNNNNNNNNNNNNNNNNNNNNNNNNNNNNNNNNNNNNNNNNNNNNNNNNNNNNNNNNNNNNNNNNNNNNNNNNNNNNNNNNNNNNNNNNNNNNNNNNNNNNNNNNNNNNNNNNNNNNNNNNNNNNNNNNNNNNNNNNNNNNNNNNNNNNNNNNNNNNNNNNNNNNNNNNNNNNNNNNNNNNNNNNNNNNNNNNNNNNNNNNNNNNNNNNNNNNNNNNNNNNNNNNNNNNNNNNNNNNNNNNNNNNNNNNNNNNNNNNNNNNNNNNNNNNNNNNNNNNNNNNNNNNNNNNNNNNNNNNNNNNNNNNNNNNNNNNNNNNNNNNNNNNNNNNNUAAAUGUCGUUAAUUAAUUAAUUAACUAAAUACAAGUUGGUCUAUGGAGGCCAAUAUCUGAUCCCUUCACAAUAACCAAAAUAUUAAAUUCAGUGCACAAAUUUAGAUACAUGCAGACAAAUAAGAUGCAGGUUAUUAUGGCCUACCUUGAACAUCAAAAUUUUUUUUUUUCAAUCCAAUCCCUCUUAGGAUAUAAACUCGUUAACGAAAAAAGAGCAUUAGAAAAAAUAAAAAGCUACAAUGUCGAUUUCCAUUUAGUGUACAAUUCUUUACUUUUGAAGACAGGACAUACAAAAUAAUUAGAUUGAAUUGUGUCUGAUUAUGAGAAGCAUUGAAAAUUGCAUAUAUUGAUAAUUUCUUAAACCUAUUUUUAUAAUAUUUAAAUCCUUGAAGCUUAAACUAGCAAGAGUCUAGCCAGAUCUUAUAUCAAUACUUCCAGCCCGUCAAUGAAAUAAGAUCCACAAAAGAUGGGACACGGGAGAAGGGAUGAAGUUUACUCACCUUCAAUAUCAAUACUUCCAUUCAAUUCAUUAGUACCCAAUGAUAAGUGUUUGAGUGAUGAAAGACCACCUAGAGAUGAAAAGAUGCUGUUGUUGAAGUGGUUAAGGGUUAAAUCAAGAAACUUCAAGUUCUUCAAACUUGAUAACCUAUCUAGACCUGUCAAAAAAUAAAAAGUAAAAAAUAAAAAAUAAAACAUAAUUUUAUUGUAUCACGUAUAAAUUAAACAAAAGUCAAAAGGGAUUAGAUAAAUGUAAGAAAUUACGAAGGAGAAUUAAAAUAGAGUAAAUUAAGGACCUUCAUUUUGAACACAACCGGUUAUAUUAUUCCCACUUAAAUCAAGAAACUCUAAUUGUUGAAAGGGAGUAAACAGAGAGGCAUUCAUAUACCACUCUGCUGAGUCCCGUUUUCGAAAUGCUAGAUCUAAUUUAAUCACUCUGCCAGUGGUGUUGUUGCACUCAACCCCUUCCCACUGACAACAAUCUGAAUAAUUCUCACCAUCAUUCCAGUAGUGAAGAUGUUUACUAUCAUUGAAGAAAUGUUUAAGUUGGAGGAGAGCAGACCUCUCUUGCUCCAAACAUCCCUCACUCCACCACCCUUUAACUGCUAAUAAUAUGAAAAUUAACUCACUCACCCACACCCUUUUUGAACCACACAUUAUAUCUUCUUAAUUAUAAUCACCUACACACACUCUUUCUGUCACUCUUUGCUUCAGUUCUGCAACAACGAGAGGAUGGCUGUAUGCUAUUUAUAACCAAUUGAACUGAUGAUACUCCCAGCUUUUAAUUGACUUCUCUAAGUCUUGCAUGCGUUUUUCUUCAUUUCUUUUUAUUUUUACUGUUAAUAUGUAAUAUGAUUAUAAUAUAUUUUAUUUAAUUCAGUCAACUGAAAAUAUUUCCUCUCCGUCCAUACUCCAUAUGGGAUGUCAUAAAUAUCUGCACAGCCUGGAUUCUGACGGAACCUUGGGCAACGCGGGUAAUACCGAUUGUAUUUGUCAUAUCAACAUCAUUCGUUGUCACGAAGAAGGUGAAGAGUCUUCUUUCUUUCUUCGAAGUUCAUGAAAGGAAAUCAUGUUUUACACGUUAGUUGACUUUGAAUUGACCCCAAAUCGCGAAACAUUGGCCCUCAAUCCUCUCUCUCUCUCUCUCUCUCUAAUUACUAAAUAAGUGAAAUUAUUAUUGAAAAUUUUAAGCUACAAACCAGCAAUUUUACAUUAAAAAAAAUCGAUAAUCAAAUCUUUAUCCACUGUUGUAGCUUUCGACAGCUUUGCAAAAUAACUGUAAGCCAAUAUAUUUCAAUUAAAAGUCACGUUGCUUUUAACAACCUUUGGCAACCAGAUACAUUGAUGGGUCGAAUAUACAAUAUUGGUGACAUUACAUUAGUAAUAUUACUCAACUAUUAACCUUUUUAAAACGACACAGUAAAAGACCACCGAAAAGGUUAUAUUUUUCGGCGUUUUUUUGUUUUACGAUGGGACAAUUCGUACUCUAAAAACUAAUCAGAACACUCAUAAUCUAAUAAAAUUUAUUUUACGCUGAUAAAUUAUUCGUUAUGCAAUUUACCGUUAUAGACAAGUAGACUUAAUAGAUUUAAUAUCUUUUUACGUAUGUUCUUUGCUCAAAAUAGAAAAUCUGAUUCCAUCUCCCUUAAUUUUUUUUCUUUUUACUUUUUCUAACAUUUUCUCCUCCUCGAUUUCACAGGUAAAUAUUUAUGCUAACAAACUGUUAUUGAAAAAAAAAAGACAAACAAAUAGAUAAUUGGGUUGCUGUUUAUCUUAAAAGAACAAAUAUCAAGAAUGUCCAAAGUAUUAUUUAUAUUUAAGCAUAAAUUUUAUUUUAUUUAACUUAAAAAAAUUGGGGAUAAUGACUUGGUUACAAUCUUUAGAAUUAGAUAGAACCUCCCUCAAGUCUCGGCUCCAAAAACUUAUUCUUGUAUGUAAUAACGUUAUGUAUUUGUCACGUUAACAUAAUUGGAGUCACUGUCCGGAAAGAGACGAGAGGCACUCUCUUUCAUGGAAAUUCAUGAACACGUGAAAGCAAAUCAAACCAUUUUAGGGUGCGUGGAAGUUAGGCAUGGAAUAUUUGUAAUUGACUUUGAGUCAACAAAUGCCCCCUUUUCUCUCUUAUUUCUAUGAUUACUUAAAUAAAUUAUUUUAUAUUAAAAAAAAAACAACAGUGAAAAUUGAAAGCAAGAAAAAUUUUAGUAAACGACAUACUUAACUGAAAUGCCAGCAAUCAAAUGCAAAGAAGACCUGCUUAGUCUUUUCAAGAGCUAUUGAAUGCAACUUUAUCAAUUCAAAGUUAUGGAUAUAAUGAAAAAGCGAAUAUUGCUUUCAACAAGCAGUCUAACAUAUUUUUUAAUGUAGGCAAUCUCACAUAAUCUGUUAAGAGAACUCCACUGAAGAGUAGAGUAAUGUUAUGAUUUCUGACAGUUAAGUCUUAAUUUAUGUGUGUUAUUAAUCUAUUAGAUAUUAGAUUUCAUGACUAUUAGAAUUAAUAUUUUACUGCUCAAUAGAUGAUUACUAUACUAAUUGGGACCAAAUUAAGAGUUGAUUGUUAGGAUCCCAAAUACUACUGUGCAAAGUAAUAUAUAUGAUUACUAUACUAAUUGGGACCAAAUUAAUUUAUGUGUGUUAUUAAUCUAUUAGAUAUUAGAUUUCAUGACUAUUAGAAUUAAUAUUUUACUGCUCAAUAGAUGAUUACUAUACUAAUUGGGACCAAAUUAAGAGUUGAUUGUUAGGAUCCCAAAUACUACUGUGCAAAGUAAUAUAUUGGGCAUAAGCAAGUCAUUGAAGCGAGCGAAAAAUUCAACCCAUUUACAAACCAUCAAAUUUCUUUUCACAACACAAGCAUUUUUGUCAUCGGCAAUUCAAACAACCAUUCCGUCCCUUUCUCUGCUCAAUACCUUCCUUAAAUUGUUCAUAAUCUUAACCUUUGAUUUAAGUUGUUUCUUCUUAAUUGUUCGUAGCCUUAACAUUUGUUUAAGCACAUGUUUCCUAGUAAUUUCUUAUUUUAACAUGCUUUCAUCUUUUGAUAACUAGUCAGGGCAAUUUAAUAAUACUAUUACUUUUAAAAUAAUUAAUGUUAGUCGAGAUGUAAAAAUAAUUAGCCGUGUGAAGAUAAAUUGUUAAGUUUUUAUUUAUUUAUUUAUGCAAUGUUAGAUAUUCCAACAUUUAAGUCCUAAUUUAGUCCCAACAAAUAUAACAUUUAUCAAGUGGUUAAAUACUUUUACAAACUAUGAAAUCUAUUAUUUAAUAAAUCAGUGAUACAUAAUAUUAAGAUUCAAAUAUCAAGAUUUCUAACAUCAUUAUUAUUAAAUCUUAUUCUCUGAAUUAAUCUUGGAAAACUAUUCCAUUUUUCUUUUUCAAAAGAUGCAAUAGCGUGUGUAGCGGUUUGAAUUAAUUGUGCAAACUACUUUUCAAUGAAAUAAACAAAAAUGGGCCCUCGAUUUGGUUGCAAUACCGUGUGUAGCGGUUUGAAUUAAUUGCAAACACUCUUUUGUACUUGGCAAUGGUCUCUUGGCCCACUGUCACACCCUACGCUCUCAAACUAGCGUGUAUGAGUUCUGAAUCCUGACUAUUGAAAGGACUUAAUUCUCGUUCCAGUUAAAUUGGAUAGAAGUAAAAAUGUCUCUUCGUUAAUAGUGGAAAAGAAUAUAUAUCUCUCUUUGAUAUUAUAUGAGAAUAGGAAUUUGGGUUGUACUAGUUUAGAAUUAUCAAAGAUAGUCAGAUAAAAUUCUGAUUGUAAAUAUUAAUAGAAUCUUGAUUGUUAUAUAUCAAUGUAACAAAAAAAAAAAAAAAACUCAUAGUCCUUAUGAUUACCUGUUUCCAUAAGCCACCAAUAUCUCACCGUUGCUUUCAUUUACAAAUAAUCUAACGACCGUUUAAGAUACAAAAUUUGUAGCCCUCAAUCUCUAUUUCUUACUUUUGUUUUGUAGCCCUCGUUCUCUAUUUCUUACUUUUGUUGUUUUUCCUUUUUGAAAAAAAAUUAAAAUUAUGUUAUAACCAUUUCGUAAAUUAUUGUUUUAUUUUUCAAAAUUACAUUGCAAUCUAUUUAUAAAAUCAGGUAUUACCCUACUUUUAGUUUUAAUGCAAGUUUUGUUUAUUAUUAAAAAAGAUACAGCAUAAAAUUAUUGGAAACAACUGAAUUUAACCAUUCAAUUUUGAUCGCAUGCAUGGCAUAUAACUAAAUUGGGCCGCUUCUGCUCACCUCUUACCCGAUUUUAUAUGCUCAAAUUGAUCAGUCGAAUCCAAAUGGGGGGAUCUGAUAUUUUGGGUUGUGGUGGAACUGACGGAGCCACAUAUUUGGAUACUGACCUAGAGAUUUCUUUGAAUAAUUUUAUAGUGUUGCUCAAGUGAUAUUGCGUGAGGCUUGCGGGUGAAUCAAACACAUCAGCUCUAAACGGCAGCGUUUUGGCAUUAUAAGAUAAGAGCACUUAAAAGUCACGGGCUGAAGCACGUGUGUAAUCACUUGUUUCUUAAGAUUGAAACGGCAGUUCUUCUUUGUCGUUUAAGGGAAAGCUUUAAGUGAUGCACGUGAUAGCCGUGCGUGGCAACUUGAUUCAGUUCGUUAAGUUUGUUGCUCAACGUGUCAACAAGCUGUGCAAUCUGGAUUUAGCUGAUUCGUUGCUCUUGUAGUUCAGUUUGUGAGCUGAGCGUGUGUGUAACCGUGUUAAGAGAGAGAGAUAUCAGAGAAUGUGAAAGAUGAGUUCUCUGUAAUCUUAAGUAAAAGCCCUGUAAAAGAUCCUCCAUUGUUAUUCAAUAAAAGCUCUUCAGAAAGCAUCUCCCGUGGAUGUAGGUUGUACCUCCUUGGUGCAACCGAACCACGUAAUUGAUUCUUGUGUUGUCUGUGUUUGUUUCUAUUCUUUUCAGUUCUCUUAAUUCUUGUGUUAAAUUGAUUCUUUCUGGAUUCGUUCUUCAAUCUGUGCAACUUGGUAAAUCUAUAUCUGAGAUCCUGGGAAGUGAUUGUGUCUUGCAUAGUUACGAGCAGAUUCAUUCACUACGUAUUGUUUCAUUUUUUCCAAAAUCAAAACCACGUUGAUUUGAUUUUGAACUUUUUCUGGUGAAUAGUUUCUUCACCUUGCAGCCUUAUCAGGUCGUUAAUUAUUUCAUUCUUCACCGCAUAGCGAGACCAUCCAGUGAUUUAAUCAUGCAGCUAGUGAAUGUGAGUUUCUGCAGAUGCAUUAGUAGGUUUUUGCUUGUAUUUAGGCCCUCUACUCUCAUAGGGAAAGGCAAUUGCAUUGUACACACUAAUUUGGUUGCAUGGAAUUGAUAUUUUUUCUUAAUUAUCUGGAUCCAUCUGUUUGCCCUGUUCGGUCCAAAAUAUCAAAUAUUUAUAAAUUCAACCAUGCCAUCAUCUAAUUCCUUUGAACUUAUAACUGUUUCACAAGUUACUUAUGCUACUCUUAAUAUUUUGAGAUUGAAGACAUGUUCAUAUUUGAUUUCCUUCAUUCAGUUGCGUACUGCCUUUGGCUGCAGAAUUUGCAAUCUGACCAUCUAAUUAUGAUAAAAUUAACUGGCAUUUUUUGCAGGCGUAUCUUUCUCGACCACUAAAGAGAUGUUAGCUGAUGCUUUUUCACAAUUUGGCCAAGUCACUGAGGGUUUGGUCUAUUUCUGUUUUAAGUCUCAACCCCUCUUCCCUCUUCACUAUUUUGUAAUAUCCGAUUCUUUUCUUUUUGCAGCUACAAUAAUAAUGGAUAAAGGUAAGAAUAGAUCAAAAGGUUACGGGUAUGUGACUUUCAGUACAGAAGAGGAAGCCCAAAAAGCCUUGGCAGACAUGAAUGGGAAGGUAAAAUUGCAUCAUUUUUCUCUAAUUUACCAUGCUUAUAUUGUUGAGUUAAAGCAUCUCACAGUAUGUACUUGCAGUUACUAGAUGGACGAGUUAUUUUUGUGGAUAAUGUAAGACCCAGCAGACGUUACAAUACUGAUGCGCCCCUUGCAAGACAACUUCCUCAGUCUCCUGAAGAAAAUUGAUAUUAAAUUUGUCGAAAGUUGGAGAUUAUAGCCUAAUUUUCUGUACAUAUAUUUAGUCUUUCCUAGUAUAGCUUAUUUUUCUAAUUUCAUAUAGCUUCCUUAUAUAGCCUAGUCAGACUAGUAUAUAAUGUAAAGAUUGCAACUUCUAUGAAAAAAAAAUAUCUUCCCAAUAUUUUUUCUCAAAAUUGUUUUACAUUUCAUAUUAAUAUAUUGCAACAAUUCUGUUGUUCUUUUAUGAUUACCUUCUUGUUGACAUGGGAUAUCUCUGUUUAUCGUUUGGGUAACUGCUAUGAGGAAGGAGCAAAGAUCUGGGAGAUUGCGCUGGAUCUGCGGCUACCUUGCAAUUUUCAAGUUAUGAUAAUAUGAACGGGAAAAUGGGAGACUCUUGGUUUUGGAUUUUAGAUGAUAUAAUUGCCAUUAGAUUGAUAUCAUAUGCGCCCUUGUGUAAAUAUGACCUAAGUUGAUUUGAAGUGCUCAUAAGCUGGAAGAAACAUCGUUGGUACCUUGGCGCAUAGUGGUUUUAUUCCAUCUGAAAAUUUUCCCAGAUGCAUCAAACCCGAAAAACUGCGGUUUCGGAUACAAGUUCAUAGAAGAAAUGUACAUUCUGUUGAUUGGCUCAAAAGAAAAUUACUCUUCUCAAAGUGUGUGCGCGUGCAUAUAUAUAAUGCAUUACGAGACUAAAUACAAGCCCGUGGACACACAUCUUUUAUUGUAAGAAAUUCCGCUCAUAGAUCGUCUGCUGCGAUAAACAAAAAAAUAAUUCGUCUUGUUUCGAUAAUUCAGACACUUCUCUUGGCUUAGUGCCUCUAUCCGCUGUAAUCACCAAGUUCAGAAAUCACAUAAGCAUUAUUCUCUGCCCAAAAAAAAAAAAAAAGGCCAGCUGUAACAUCAGGAUGAAAAAUUGUUAAGGAAGCUCAUCAUGCUUGCUGUACAGUAAGCAAAACAGAAGAUAAAGCAGAGGAUUGCGGCAGCUAUAGCACACAGUUAAAGGUUGAUGACUUGGCUGUCCAGCUGGCACCUGAUGGUUAUGUGAUUACCAGUACACGUGAAGAUUUAGUUUGAUUAGUUAUAUUUAGUAAAUUGCUAAAGUAGUAGUUAGUUAUACAAUUAAGCUGUUAUCUUCAGCUGUGUACAUAAACAACAAUGUAUUCACAUUUUGAGUAUUCGGAACAAAUUGAAAGAUGUUCUAGAAUCCUCUUAGCUUCAAUUUUAUUCUCUCAACUUUCUUCCAUUUUCUCGUUUGCCAAACACUCAAUAAAACAAUUUUAACUAAAAUGAAUCUCAACAAAUGUUUUUCGCAUAUUAGAUUUUCUAUUUUUGGCACAACAAGCUAUAGGCAUCUUCCUAGGAUCAAUUGUUGAAAACUAUCCUUUGUGUCACUGAGCUAAACCAUAACACAUUCGUAGUUGUCAUUUGCCAACUUCUCCUGGGAGACUUCCACCUCGGUUAUGAGAGAAAAUCUUCUCUGAAAAAGUUACACAGGACUGGUGCAGCAUCGUGCUUCCGCAUCAAGCUUUUUUUACCUUACGGGAUGGGGGUCUUCGAAACAAACUGAUUAGAUCAUCAAGACCCUGUUGGAAAACUUGGAACUUUUGAAGUUUCUAUUCUAAUCUGUUUGCAAUGAAAUUAUAAAACAUCAAAUAAAAGAUAAAACUGAAAUUUAGAACUUCAAGCUUGAUAUGGAGAAAGAGUAAUACCCAAGUUGUUAUGACAAGAAAGCUGAAAAGCACAAUUAAAUACGAUCCCAACACUAGAAGCAACAGCAAGUCGAAUGUUACACUAGCAACCUGUAAAAAAAAUCUGCAGUAAUGAGCUUCAAGCAAAUGAAGGAAAAAGAUCAAAACUUUAUACAUAAAAAGCUAAUGAAGGACUCUGAAGUACGUAGAAGGCUUGAGACGAGCCGUCUAGCGUUCAAUGGAGAGAGAGAUUACACGUCUAAACAAUAUUAGUUUCUAGAAGGUAAAAACAAGCAGGCACCUGAUAUAUGUUGAGGCUAGCUUUAGUUGUAUCAUAGAAAGUAAACAUCCCGUCAAGCACCUCAUGUUGCACACUCACCUCGUCGGUAUGAUCGGCCAGUUCCUGCAAUCAAACAUACAGAAUAAGGUUAUACAAAGUAACAGGCUUGGGCUUUCUCACCGAAGCGGGGUUGUUAGUGGAGAUUCUGAGUCCAAUUUUACAAACUUAAGAUCGAGUUAUUCAGUCUUAAAGUCUGUUUGGUAUAGCUUCUUUAAGUAGAUUCUACACUAGUAGAGCUUUUAACAAAAUGUUGUUGGUUGUUUAGUUGUCCAUAUAACAUCUUUUAGCAAACAAUAACAUCAAGUUAUUUUUGACAAUUCAACCUUUCAAAAAAGCCCAAAAAAUCUCCUAAAAGCUUCCUACAGAGAACAGGAAACAUCAUUUUUAAUCUUCCACAAGCUCUUCCUUAGUUAAACCAAACAAGAAAAACAGUUUGAAACAGUUUUAACAUCUAAAAAAGCUCUUUGGUCCCAUAAAGAAACCAUCUGUGUAUAUCUUGGUCCUUGUAAUUAUCUUUAGGCUUUGCAAAUAUCUUCUAACACUGUUUGAAAUGGAAGAGUUCUCUUUGGAUUACAUUGAUUCUUUGAAUAGGAAAGAUCUAAACGAUAACUUUUUAAACAAAAACUAUUAAUUAAUGGCUUUCUUUAUCAGGCUGUGAUUCUUCGUUUUCGUGGCUUAAUAUGUAAAAUGUAACUAACAUAGGUACAUGGAAGGCUACAGGAACUAGAUGGUUGACUAUGCUAUUCACCCAGUCAUUGGUUGAAGGUGCAGUAGAUACCUAAUCUUAAUUAAUGUUGAAUUUACUUAUAAAUGUUCGUUUGCAAGACUUAUUUGUGUUUUUACCAGGAUAGUGAAGGCUAAAAUAGGAGUAUAUGGGAUGUUGUUAGCAAUUGCUUAUUAAGGUCUGUAUUAUCAUGAGUUGUCUUUUCUAAUUAGUUCUUGAUUUGACACUAAAGAAGUCUUGGACUAGUUAAUUAGUAAAAUGCGAUGUAAUAAUAAUAUAGUCUGUAUAUUUUCUCUACCCAAAUAGUAACGUAGUCUUUUUAUUAUAGUUCUGUAGGUGUGGGCAAUGAAGAAAGGUUAGAAAAGUUGCCUAACGGUGGUUGAAAGGGAGCAAAAACGUGGUUACUAGCUAGGUCGAUUUGUUGUCCCCCGGGGGGGUGGGGUGGGGUUUGGCAGAAUAACAUGUUGGCAACCUAUAGAUUGCUAUUUUACCUUCAAAAAAGAUCAAAUAGAUGAUGCUGGAAAGUUCCAAGUCAAAACAAGGAAAAGGGAAAAAGAAAUUUCAAUGGAGGUCCAAAGCAAUAGAUAUUCUCAUGGCAGGAGAUCUAGUAAGUCACCUAUCUGGACCACAAGCCUCCUUCUUCCUUCAAGAUUGUAAGGUUCAGUUGGGGGCCCCUAGUUUCUGACUCAAGUUCGUUAAUUGGGUUCGAAGGUAUCUGGAUUAAUCCUACUAACAUAUCUUCUGAUGUGUCAUAGUUGUAAAACAGUUGUAUGCUCUUUCAUUUAGAAUGGCUGUAUCAUACUCUUAUUGGUGCCUAGUAUUUGUGAGUUCAUAAGAGUGAUUUUUACUAUUGUAUAUUGUUAGCAGUUCGUAAUAUAUACACUUUAAUUUUUCCUCCUAGUUAAGUGUAUUAUGUGCUUUUCAUUUGCAAAAUUUGUACGAAACUUUUAUUGUGUAACUCUCAAUAUCAAUAAAGUAGGACUAUUGCCUGAUGCUUGGAAUUUCUAAGAUGAGGGUUUUUAUGAUUUUGUCAAAUUUCCGAUGAUCCAAAACGGACCUAAAUAGCUUUCAAUGGGUGUUUGCUUGACAGAAGCUUUAACAUGAUAGGUGAAGGCUCUUUUAGUUGUUAACUAAUCAUUGUACUUCCUAAGCAAGUUUGAUUUAUUGCUCUCUGGGCAAAUUUGUUGUAGGUGUAAUAAUUUCGGUCCUCAUUUUUUUUCUUUUAUAUUUUUCUAAGAGAUCCAUUUAAGCAUAUUAAUCGCAAAAAAUCAAGUGACGUACGUAAAUGAAUGGUAAAUAAUAGUGAAAAAUAGAACAAAAAUUGUACAUCUUUCGUUCAUAUAUGUAUUCUUAAUUAAUGUAAUAAAAGGUUAGGUUUAUAAAAUUACUUAAUUUAAUUUGAGAGACAAAAAGUGGUGUAACAUACGUAUAUUAUAAUACAUUCACUAACUUUAGGGAUCCUAAUUAUUGUACUAAUAUUCAACUGUAAUUGUCACAUUAUAUUAGUCAUUGAUGUUUACUAAGUUUUUCUUGAAUAAUAAUCUCAUCAUUUCAUGAUAAACAUUAAUAAUUAAGUUAAUGUUGCAGUUACCGAUGAGUUAUUAUAUUAGUUAUGAUUGAAACAUUGAGAUAAUAAUUGGGAUUUCUAACAUUAUUCUAACACAUUAAUAUUGAUAAAUUUAAAAAAUAAAAGGGGUUAAUAGUGUAUGGGUAAAAUAUGAUUAUAAUAAAUCUAAUUUUGGGGUCUAAAUGACAUAAAGGAAAACAAAAAAAGUAGAGAAAUUGAAAGAAAUAAAUGCUAUUUCCCAGAUGUUUGAAAGACGUUAAAGCAAGAUCAAUCUCGAGUCUCAGUCCAAACUGUUCACCUCACCUUGUUUGGCUGUUCAACUCUUUCACGCUCUCUCGGCUAUCUUAUCAAACACUUUAUUUACAAAAGAGAGAGCUCACAGAAAGACCAUGGGGCUUCUGCUUGGGGCAGAGCCCAAAAGGACUAUGAAAAAUGUCGCAGAACGGAAAAUUGAUGCCUAAUCUGGACCAGCAGAGCACAAAACUCCUAAACUUGACAGUUCUUCAGCGAAUCGAUCCAUUCAUUGAGGAGAUCCUCAUCACGGCUGCUCAUGUCACCUUCUACGAGUUCAACAUCGACCUCAGCCAAUGGAGUCGUAAGGAUGUUGAAGGAUCUCUGUUCGUCGUCAAAAGGUCAAUAAAAUUAGAUUCUUUUCUCUCUUAUGCUUUCCAUUUCUUCAUUUGAUAUUCGUUGUUUUGGAGAUUGUAUUACAUAUGAAGUUUGUGAAAUUAUUAUUUUUUCAAUUUUCAGGAACACACAGCCUCGAUUUCAGUUUGUUGUGAUGAAUCGACGUAAUACAUGUUGGUUUAUCGUUGCUUCUAUUUUAGUUUUGAUUAUUUGUACGUGAACUAGUUUUAAUUUCAGUGAUGAAUCACUUUAUCACAGUUCUAGCUAAUAAUUGAGGUUUUAGAACGAAGAAUAGAAUGUACCUAACCGAAAAUAUUUAUAUGCCAAUAUUACAGAGGCUAAAGUAUUUGCAAUGUUGUUGUUUAGCGUUAAAUAUUGGUCGUUUUAUGACCAUCAGGAGAGGGGGUUGGUACAAUUAUUUAGAUACCGUGAGUCUAUCUUGUCUACAACUUGUGUUAUAUUUCAUGUCUUGUUGUGCUUAUCAGUUGUUGCUAAGUUUUAGUUAUAUCUCCUAACCUUCAUGUCUUUUUGCAUAUGUUUUUGCACUGAUAAGCUUUAAUAUCUUGGAUAUGUGCAGAUAAUUUAGUGGAAAAUCUUUUGGGAGAUUUUGAGUUUGAAGUUCAGGUUCCGUAUUUGUUAUAUCGAAAUGCAUCCCAAGAAGUAAAUGGGAUUUGGUUCUACAAUGCUCGUGAAUGUGAAGAGGUAGCAAAUCUUUUUAGCAGGUAUUGUUGUUUUACUGGUUUUACUAGUGUAGUAGUUUAAGUGUAUAUUAUUAUGUUUUACAUGCUAAUAAUUGACACAUAGAGAAUAGUUUAGAAUCUUAACCAAACUUGGAAAUGUGUUUCAAAUAAUAGAGUAUGGUUAUUACAUGUUGCUUCUGCCGAGGCCUCGUGAACCUGGUUUUAGUUAUUGUUUUCCUGAAUUUUAUAUUGGAAUUAUUAUUCUUGGAAUCUGGCUUGUACAGAUUUCUUUUUUGCCUUGUGUGGCAUCUUUGAAGUUUGGUUAAUAAAACUUGUUUAAUGCUAUUAUAUUCUCCUCCUUGCAUGCUUUUUAUUUUGAGAUGUGCAGUGCCAAGUGCAAAGGAGUUAUUUUUGUAUAGAAACUGACUAUUUUAUACUAGAGUCGUUCUGUGCCCCUUAAGAUUGGAAAAAGAACGGGUUGCGUUUCCUUUACAUUUAGGAGAUAGGAGAACAAAACAACCUGGGGAGUUGGUAACGAAGCCUUCAAUUUUUUUUCAUCAUGCAAGGGUGGACCAAAGAUUCUAUAGAUGAUAUCUGGAGUCCUCGGUGUUCUCAUAUUAGGUUUUUAUGGUUUCAUUGUUCUUCAGAUUCGUCUGAAAAUGUGCAUCUCAUAAAGACAUGAUUGUUUUAUUUGUUGACUUGCAUGUGGUAAAAGUCAAUUUUCUUGCCGUAAAAAAUAGAACGCAAGAAGAUUCUUUGAGGUUCUAUAUUUGUAAAUUUUUCAAUUUGGUAUGGACUAUAGGUUGUACAGUCAAUGAGAAUUUAAAUUGGUUUUUUAGGAGUGGGGGCUGAGGUGGUGUGGGAAGAAAUCUUUAUAUUGUAUUAGUCUAUGGGAGCAACAAGUUCAGAAGUAUGGUUAGAAUGUGGAAUUUUUUCAAGCAAGUGCAAGCUCCCAGAAUUUUAAAGAAACGAGUGAAUGGCAAGAGAGAAUAGAGAGAAAAUUUCAGAGAAGAAGAAGAAACUGAGUCCAGAAUUUUAUAUAUAUAUCCCAUCAAAUACAACCAUGGAAAUACUUAUAGCAGCAAGAAUAUGCUCACAGCUGUCAAAACUAAAUAACAACCUCUCUCUAUAACAAAGAAUUAUUCUCUAAAUAGCUAAAGCCGUUAGAAACCGAAUCCUCUGCUCAUAUAUGCUCAGUGUGUGUAAUCCUUGAACCAUUUGGGUGGCUUCCUUACGCGACUUGGCUUGAUGAUAUCUUGGGGUCGGUUUUGGAUAGCCUCACUUGAGUUUGCCUGGGCCUUUUCCUCGCUAUUGAUAGAGCUAGCUGAGUUGGGCUUGUCUAACUGUAAUAUUGGGGUUGUAUCACCCUCCACUCCUUGAGGAAUCACCUUGUCCUCAAGGUGAAAAUUCGGGUACUGCUUAGUGAAUUCGGAAAGAGCUUCCCAUGUUGCAUUCUCAGGAGCACAAUCCUGCCACUGCACUAAAAUUUGGGAUUGUAGGAUGCCAUGAACCAACACUUGACGUUGAACACAAAUAGCAAUGGGAACAGACAUAGGCUGGUUAUUGUAAGACUCGCUAGGUAGUGAGUGAACUUGUGAGGCAUCCUGACCAUGAAACGGCUUGAGAAGUGAGAUGUGAAAGACUGGAUGAAUCUUAGAAUCAGGAGGUAAAUCCAAGCGAUAGGCCACAACGCCAAUACGCUCCAUUACUCGAAAAGGACCAUAAUAUCGCUUCGCUAGCUUGUUGGAUAAUUUGUUUGCAACUGAUAUUUGCCGAUAAGGCUGCAACUUAACCAAAACUUGAUCCCCGACCCGAAGCUCUAGCUCACGGCGAUGAGCAUUAGCCUUUUGCUGCAUUCUAUGUUGAGCUGCUCGCAAGUUGGUUUUCAAGGCUGUUAGGAAGGCAUCACAUUCCAGCAGCAAUUCAUCAAGUGCUUGGAUUGAAGUAGAGCUCCCGGUAUAGGAAGGAAUUACAGGUGGCUCAUGACCAUACAAGGCCUUAAAAGGAGACAUUUGGAUGCUUGUAUGAAAGCUAGUGUUGUAAGAAAACUCAGCCUAGCCUAAAUAAUCGAACCACGAUGUCGGUUUCGCUUGUGUGAAUACUCGCAAAUGCUGCUCGAGUCCUCGAUUAAUAACCUCUGAUUGGCCAUCCGUUUGAGGAUGAUAUGAUGUACUAUGCUUCAAUGUGGUACCACUUAACUCAAAGAGUUUCUUCCAAAAGCUACAAAGAAAGAUAGAGUCACGAUCUAAAAUUAUUGUACGAGGAAAACCAUGGUGCUUAACAACCAUAUCAGUGAAUAAAACAACUGUUUUGCUUGUUGUAAAGUGUGUGGGUAGAGCACCAAAAUGAGCUGAUUUUGUCAAUCGGUCAACAACGACUAAGAUAACAGUGAACCCAUGGGAAGAGGGUAAACCUGUAAUGAAGUCUAUGGUAACUUCCUACCAAACUAGUGAAGGUAUAGGCAAGGGUUGAAGGAGUCCAGUUGGUGCCUGAGUAGAGUAUUUUGUUUGCUGACACAAUAAACAAGAGGCGACAAAUAACUCCACAUCCUUGUGCAUAUUUGGCCAAUAAAAGAGAGUGGAUAGACGAACUAAUGUCCGCUUGACUCCGGCAUGACCUGCAACUGGUGUGGCAUGAAAUUCUUGUAAUAAAGAAGGCUUCAAAACAGAGUGAGAGCUGAUGAAGAACCUGUUUUUGAACCGUAGGAUUCCAUCCGAGACCGAAUAUGGAUACAUUACAGAACCAGAGGAAUACUUCUGAUGGAGAGCUAAGAGAUCCGGUAAAGACUGAUUUUCCGCACGAAGAAUAGAGAGGAAUUUAGGAAUAGGACAGCUAGCGAGUAACAGAGUAGCAGUAGAAUGGCCAUAUAAUUUAGGGACAUCAACUUCAUGUACCCUGGAUAAGGCAUCAGCUGCACUAUUAGUUCGACCCGGCUUAUAUUCAACCCUGAAAUGAUACCCCAGUAAUUUACGAACAUAAAAUUGUUGCUCUGGAGUUUGGAUAACCUGCUGAAGGAGCUCUCGAAUACUUUUCUGGUCAGUUCGGAUAAUAAAGAAAUGGCCUAACAAGUAUUGUCUCCACUUAUGUACUGCUUCGGCAAUGGCAUGAAGUUCUUUGAUAUAAGUAGAAGCGACAAGCAUGCGAGGACCCAAUUUUCGGCUAAAAUAAGCAAUCGGAUGAUCAGCUUGCAUCAGUACGGCUCCAUACCAACAUUCGAGGCAUCCGUUUCAAUAAAAAAAUCCAAUUGAAAAUCUGGCAAGCGAAGGACUGGUGCUGCAUUCAUGGCUUGUUUUAAGGCAGCGAAGGCCGUGUCAGCUGCGGAGGACCAAUGGAAACAAUCCUUCCGUAAUAAAUUUGUGAGAGGGGUAGCAAUGGAAGCAUAUGCUUUAAUAAAGCGAUGAUAGUAGCCUGUGAGACCCAAGAAUCCUCGCAAUUGUUUUGUGGUAGACGGCGUAGGCCAAUUAGACAUGACCACCAACUUGCGAGGAUAAGCCUCAACUCCAGAAGAGGAAACAAUAUGGUCGAGAUAUUCAAUGUUAUCUUGGCAAAAAAAAAUCACUUUGAGAGCUUAAAAAAAAAAUGAUUAGUAUGAAGACAAUCAAAUACUCUAUGUAAAUGCUCAAAAUGGUCUUCUAAAGAAGUGCUGUACACUAAGAUAUCGUCAAAGAAAACGAUCACAAACUUACGGAGAUAAGGAGCAAAGAGCCUAUUCAUUGUCGCUUGAAAUGUGGAAGGGGCAUUAGAGAGUCCAAAAGGCAUAACAAGGAACUCAAAAUGCCCAUCAUGAGUCCGAAAGGCUGUUUUAUAAAUAUCUCUGUCACAUACUCGUAUUUGAUGGUACCCCGCUCGCAAAUCCAGCUUACUGAAAAUACAAGCACCACCAAGCUCGUCUAAUAACUCAUCAAUAGUUGGUAUCGGAAAUUUGUCUUUAAUUGUUACCGCGUUCAAGGCUCGGUAAUCUACACAAAAACGAUAGGAGCCAUCUUUCUUUUUAACCAGCAACACAGGUGAAGAGAAUGGGCUCUGACUUGGGCGAAUAAUGCCUUGAUCAAGCAUUUCUUUAAUUAGUCUCUCCAUUUCGGCCUUUUAGAAGUGAGGAUAACGGUAUGGGCGAACAUUGACAGGUUUAGUAUUUGGGAGAAGAUGAAUGUGAUGGUCAAUAAGUCUAUGAGGAGGUAGGGAAGAUGGAGUGUGAAAUAAUUGCUCAUAUUGAUGAAGAAGGGCAAGUACAGGGGAAGGCAAAUCGGGUGGGAAGUCAAACUUAGCAGCAGUGGUUGGAACAGAGAGGGUAUCCUGCGCGUCUGUAGUAGUAUGCAACUAGAAAAAUUCAAAAAAAUUUGUCUUUAAUUGUUACUGCGUUCAAGGCUCGGUAAUCAACACAAAAAUUAGUAUGCAACUAGAAAAAUUCAAAAAGGCCGUGGAUUUGAUCAUGGGACAUGAGGGCUUGUAAUUGAUGAAAAGAAAUCAGUCUUAGAGACAAUGAGAGAUCACCUCGCAGGAAGACAGGAGAGCCAUUAUAGAAAAAUUCCGUUGACAAUGCCGCAUAGUCAUGAGAAACUUUGCCAAGCAGCUGUAACCAUUGAAUUCCGAGGACAAUAUCCGGUCCCUCAAUAGGAAGAACAUAAAGGUCGAUGUAGAAAACAUGGCCUUGCAUAGAUAAGGUGACUUGGGAACAAACAUAUCGACAAACUAAAGAAUCACCAUUACCGAUAUAUACUGGGAAUGUGGUAGUGUCUUAUACUGCUAACCCCAAAACUUCAGCCACAGCGGGUUUAAUAAAAUUAUGGGUGCUACCACUAUCGAUAAGUGCUUGCACGGGCUGUUGAUUAAUUUCACCAAGGAGUCGUAGAGAGCGAGGAGUAUUUUGGUCCGCUAAGGCAUUUAAACUAGAGAUAUCACCAACUAUAAUAGUUUCCUCAACAACAUCUGAGAUCUCAGAAUUAAUUGGUGGACCCAUCGCCUCGUCAACAUCCUCUGUUCCUAAAAGAAGCAGAAACUUACUACGGCAUCUAUGAGAGUUGCUCCACUUCUGGUUGCAAUUGUAGCAGAGUCCUUUCUCCCUUUUUUCACGAAGUUCUUGAGGAGAAAGACGCUUAAUAGGGAGAGAUGGCGUUGAUAAAAGUGGAGGUAAAGUGGACGGGGCAGGUUGAGGUGGGUUUAUGGCAGGGGCACUUGCAGGAUUAUGAUUGGUUGUAGUAGGGUGAAAGGAUGGUGUGGUGGUUUUGUGGGUUCACUUAGACCAAGGUCUGGACGUAACUUUACUCUCAUCUCCAUGUGCUUCAAACAUACGAGCCAGUGCAAAUGCCUCCAUCAACGAGGAAGGCCGUGACAGCAAUAGCUCGUGAUGAAUAUCCACUCGCAACCCUGUGAUAAAAAAUGAGAUAAGGAGAGGCUCGGAAAUACCAGUGACUUUAUUCAUGAGGUCCCCAAACUCGGUUUGAAAUUCUGCCACACUUGAUUUCUGUGUAAGUUUGGAUAGAUUGCCUUGGUGGUCCUCAUACAGGGAAGCUCCGAAACGAAACUUCAGAUUUUGAAGAAAAUCCUUCCAACUGGUAAGAAGAUCAUUCGCCUUCAUCCAUUGGUACCAAGUCGAAGCGCGACCUUCCAAAUGAAAAGACACGAUGUGGAGACAAAGAGCUUCGGAUGUGCCAUGGAAAUCAAAAUACUCAUUGAUGCGAAAAGCCCAACCGUUUGGGUCAGUUCCAUCAAAUUUUGGGACCUCGAGUUUCAUUGUUCGCAAGAGAGGAUUGGAGUCAUGGGUGCCCGAUGAACCAUCAGAUAUCUGUGGAAACGAGGGUGGAUUCGAUGGUCCAUUUGUUGGAACCGAAGGUAACCCCUUGAUCUGAGAACGCAAGUCCUCCAAGCGAGAAUCCACGGUAAGAGCAUCUCCAAAAGGCUAUAUAAGUUUUACUCUUCAAAUACUUAUUUGCUUACUUAUGUGGCAAAUAGAAAGGUGAAAAAAUAUGAUAUUCUCCAAAAGACAAUUCAAAUAGAAAUAAGUUAAUAUUAUUUUAAUCAUAUAAUUAGUUUUUUAAAGGAAAAGUCAAUAACAAUUAAAGCUCUUCUCUCUCUUUCUUCAAUGAAAAGUAAUAAAAUAUAAAUUGAAGAGGGGGAAAUUAACUCUCCAAAUUUGAAGAGAGGGAAUUAAUUCUUGUUUGAAGAAUUUUAAUUGAAGUGCCUUUUGAAGUUUUAAAUAUUGAUGUGGCUCUUCAAAUAAGUAAUAAAAUCUUAUUUAAAGAGACUUUUGGUGAUGCUCUAAGCAUGUAUUGUUGCAGUGUGUGAUGAACUGCGACCGUUUGGCUAUCAAGUUUUGUUUGUAAAGCUUUAAUGGCAAUUAGAAUCUCCGAAUCAGCCAUGAUGAGCAAAUAUCAAUGAAAGCACCAAUGUUAUGCCGCUGGUGAACACACCGAACAGCAAGGUUUCCACACUUUUCAAGCAAGUGCAAGCUCCCAGAAUUUUAAAGAAACGAGUGAACGGCAAGAGAGAAUAGAGAGGAAAAUUCAGAGAAGAAGAAGAAACUAAGUCCAGAAUUUUUAUAUAUAUCCCAUCAAAUACAACCAUGGAAAUACUUAUAGCAGCAAGAAUAUGCUCACAGCUGUCAAAACUAAAUAACAACCUCUCUCUAUAACAAAAAAUUAUUCUCUAAAUAGCUAAGGCCGUUAAAAACCGAGUCCUCUGCUCAUAUAUGCUCAAUGUGUGUAAUCCUUGAACCAUUUGGGAGGCUUCCUUACGCUACUUGGCUUGAUGUUAGCUUGGGGUCGGUUUUGGAUAGCCUCACUUGAGUUUGCCUGGGCCUUUUCCUCGCUAUUGAUAGAGCUAGCUGAGUUGGGCUUGUCUAACUGUAAUAUUGAGGUUGUAACAGAAUGGCGCCCAUGUGAUAAAUAAGGAGUUUUAAGAAGCAUGCCAUUUGCACUAAUUAAUACUGUCAGACAUGUGAUUCCAUGAACAUGAUGAUGAUCAUCAGUUACAUUUAGUUAGUGAUGGUGGUUUUCACGUGUUUUAACAAACAUGGUAGUAGCAAUUUAUGAAUAUUCAUUACAAAGUGGCUUGUGUUUGGAAAGCAAACAAUAUGACUAUUUUGAGUGGCUUGCGUGUCUACAUAAGUUUUUGCUCUGGCUGCUAAGUUAUUGAAGUUUGACCACACAAUUCUUAUCCAUUUUGUCAUUUUUGUUUGGAGGAUUUGAUGAUUUUCAGUGGGACAGUAGGGUAUAGAGAGUAGUUAUCGUACAUCCGCCUUGGCCGUACAGCAGUGUGUUAGUAAAGUGAUUGCAUUUGCACUUUCCUAGUUGCACCAACAUUUUGCGAUUUGGGAAUUUAAAUGAUGAAUUCUUAAUAAUUCACUUGGUGUUAAGCUUUUCAAUUGUUUUACGGCUAGAAAAUAUUGAGAUUGAGAAGAAAAACAUCUCCUGAUAUGGAUGUUGUAAAUUUUUUUUUUUUUUAACUUUCGUUCUUUUUUUAACUAUUUUAUAAUUUGCUAAAGAGUUGUUUGAGAAUCUCUACAGGGAUAAUGGUAUUUUCAGUUUUACAGAACUUGAUAGUAAAUGAUCAUGUACAACUUCUUUUAUUUAUUUUUUAUAUUUGACAUUCACUAUUUGACCUAAUCGAUAUCUUGGUCCUUGUAUAUUAUCUUUAGGCUUUCCAAUUAUCUUCUAACACUGCUUGAAAUGGAAGAGUUCUCCUUGGAUUAUAUUGAUUCAUUGAAUAGGAAAGAUCUAAACGAGAACUUUUUAAACAAAAACUAUUAAUUAAUGGCUUUCUUUACCAGGCUGUGAUCCUUCAUUUUCGUGGCUUAAUAUGUAAAAUGUAACUAACAUAGGUACAAGGAGGGCUACAGGAACUGGAUGGUUGACCAUGCUAUUCACCCAGUCAUUGAUUGAAGGUGCAGUAGAUACUUAAUCUUAAUUAAUGUUGAAUUUACUUGUCAAUGUUCUUUUGCAAGACUUAAUUUUGUUUUUACCAGGAUAUUGAAGGCUAAAAUAGGAGUAUAUGGGGUGUUGCUAGCUAUUGCUUUUUAAGGUCUGUAUUAUCAUGAGUUGUCUUUUCUAAUUAGUUCUUGAUUUGACACUAAAUAAGUCUUGCACUAGUUAAUUAAUAAAAUGAGAUAUAAUAAUAAUAUAGUCUGUAUUUUUUUCUCUAUCCCAAUAAUAAUGUGGUCUUUAUAUGAUAGUUCUGUAGACGUGGGCAAUGAAGAAAGGUUAGAAAAGUUGCCUAAUGGUGGUUGAAAGGGGGGAAAAAUCUGGCUGCUAGGUCGAUUUGCAUAUUGUCAUCCAUUGGAGAACUUAAGUUGAGUAGGCGAUAUUUAUUGACAACUCAUUGAUGUUUUUUUUUUUGGGGCCCCCCCGGGGGGAGGGGGGGAUAAGAUGUUGACAACCCAUAGAUUGCUAUUUUAGCUUUAAAAAAGAUCAAAUAGAUGAUGCUGGACAGUUCCAAGUCAAAAAAGGAAAAAGGGAAAAGAAAUUUCAAUGGAGGUUCAAAGCAAUAGAUAUUUUCUUGGCAGGAGAUCUAGUAAGUCACCUAUCUGGAAAAAUGCCCCAAGUCUCCUUCUUCCUUCAAGAUUGUAAGGUUCGGUUGCAGCUCCUGGUUUCUGACUCGAGUUUUCCUAAUUGGGUUGGAAGGUAUCUGGAUUAAUCCUCCUAACAUAUCUCCUGAUGCAACAUAGUUGUAAAACAGUUGUAUUCUCUUCCAUUUAGAAUGGCUGUAUCAUACUCUUAUUGGUGCCUAGUAUUGUUGAGUUCAUAAGAGUGAUUUUUACUAUUGUAUAUUGUUAGCAGUUGCUAGCAGUUGAGGCAAACUAAUUCUUGUUACAAGCAUGUUUAUGGGAGGACCCUGGAUGUGAUGCUAUCUUUACACAUAUAUAAAUUACAACUGCCAUUUAUCAAUUUUUAAUUUUUCUAUUGUAAAAUUGUUAUUAACAUUAUUUAUUUGGCUUCCAAAUGCAGGAUUCUUCCAAGGUGCCUCAAAAGCCGAAAUUUGCCACAUCUAAAAGGUAAUGGUAGCUCAAUUUAUAUUUCACAAGUUGUAUAUUAUUUUUAGCCCCCAAGAAAGUAUUAUGCUCUUUAUCAUAUAUUUUAUUUGCACAAAGUUUUUAUUUGUAGCCUCUCAUCUGUUUAAGUAAGAAGUCUGCCAUCUUACAUUGCUAUUACCAGUUUUGAUAUGUAGUAGCAAACAAUUUUUCUUUCUUUUUAGUUGUAUAAUGGUCUUAAUUUUAUAGCUAAUUUAUGUAUGACUACAAAAAAAGUCUUCGAGCAUGUGAUGUAGUUCAAAAGGCACUGAUAUAGUGUUUGUGGACAGCAUCACAUUCUUAGUUAUGGUAGUGCUUGAACCAUAAAUAUGCCCAAGUUACUCUUUCCUUGCACUUGAAAGAGUGUUUUGUUUGGGGAUUUGUGUUUGGUUGCUGGUAGUCCUGUUUGAAUAUCCAAGUAAAUAGACAAUAGAUACCAUGCAAGCUCGCCUUACUCGUAGGCAUGGUGCAUGCUGAACAAGAGGCAAUUUCUAUGGAUCCUAAAGAGGUAAUAAAUUCAGAAGUACACACACUAAUUAACAAACACCACCUCCAAAUUACAAAAUGUUUUAAUCCUUCACCUUCUCACUUCCUAUAGAAUAGCUAACCCUUCACCUUCUCACUUCCUAUAGAAUAGCAUCAUACCAGGCCCUUGCCCUUCUCUUUCCUCUGCACUUAACGGGAGAAUAGCUUUCUCUACUCUAGCGAAAACUCGAAGAACAGCACAAUGAUGAGCAAUUUCGAAUAAGAGGAGUUAGAGAAGAGAGAGAAAAAAUUCUUUGCAUUGCACUCGAGGAUUCAGCUUUGAUUUAUUUUUAUUCUCGUGUUUAGCUAAGGUGAAAUCACCUUCCAUAAGGGUCCACUCAUCAUUUUCCCUACCCUCUUAUAUCAUCUAAUUAUUACUUAAAUUGGUCAUCAAGUUCCUUUUAUGUUAAACUGCAGUGAGUUUGAGGAACUGGAAGCUGUUCCAACUAUGACAGUUAUGGAUGGUCCUCUAGAGUUGGGUGAAAUGAGAUAUGAUAAUAAUAUAGUCUGUAUUUUUUUCUAUAUCCUAAUAAUAAUGUAGUCUUUAUAUGAUAGUUAAAUAAUAAUGUAGUCUUUAUAUGAUAGUUGUGUAGACGUGGGCAAUGAAGAAAGGUUAGAAAAGUUGCCUAAUGGUGGUUGAAAGGGGGGAAAAAUGUGGCUACUAGGUCGAUUUGCACAUUUGUCAUCCAUUGGAAAACAUAAGUGGGAAAAAUGUGGCUGCUCGGUCGAUUUGCACAUUGUCAUCAUUGGAGAAUAUAAGUUGAGUAGGCACUAUUUAUUGACAACUCAUUGAUUUUUUUUUUGGGGGCCCCCGGGGAGGGGGGGGUGAUAAGAUGUUGACAACCCAUAGAUUGCUAUUUUAGCUUUAAAAAAGAUCAAAUAGAUGAUGCUGCAAAGUUCCAAGUCAAAACAAGAAAAAGGGAAAAGAAAUUUCAACGGAGGUUCAAAGCAAUAGAUAUUCUCUUGGCAGGAGAUCCAGUAAGUCACCUAUCUGGAAAAAUGCCCCAAGUCUCCUUCUUCCUUCAAGAUUGUAAGGUUCAGUUGGGGCCCCUGGUUUCUGACUCAAGUUUGUUAAUUGGGUUGGAAGGUAUCUGGAUUAAUGCUCCUAACAUAUCUCCUGAUGCGACAUAGUUGUAAAACAAUUGUAUUCUCUUCCAUUUAGAAUGGCUGUAUCAUACUCUUAUGGGUGCCUAGUAUUGUUGAGUUCAUAAGAGUGAUUUUUCUAUUGUAUAUUGUUAGCAGUUGCUAACAGUUGAGGCAAACUAAUUCUUGUUACAAGCAUGUUUAUGGGAGGACCCUGGAUGUGAUGCUAUCUUUACGCAUAUUGUAAAAUUGAUAUUAACAUUAUUUAUUUGGCUUCCAAAUGCAGGAUUCUGAAUGCAUAUUCCAAGGUGCCUCAAAAGUCGAAAGUUGCCACACCUAAAAGGCAAUGAUAGCUCAAUUUAUAUUUUGCAAGUUGUAUGUUAUUUUUACCCCGCAAGAAAGUAUUAUGCUCUCAUACCAGGCCCUUGCCCUUCUCUUUCCUCUGCACUUAACGGGAGAAUAGCUUUCUCUACUCUAGCGAAAACUCGAAGAACAGCACAAUGAUGAGCAAUUUCGAAUAAGAGGAGUUAGAGAAGAGAGACAAAAAAUUCUUUGCAUUGCACUCGAGGAUUCAGCUUUGAUUUAUUUUUAUUCUCGUGUUUAGCUAAGGUGAAAUCACCUUCCAUAAGGGUCCACUCAUCAUUUUCCCUAACCUCUUAUAUCAUCUAAUUAUUACUUAAAUUGGUCAUCAAGUUCCUUUUAUGUUAAACUGCAGUGAGUUUGAGGAACUGGAAGCUGUUCCAACUAUGGCAGUUAUGGAUGGUCCUCUAGAGUCAACUCCCUCAAAUGCUGCUGAUGCUCCUGAAGAUCCUGCUUUUGUGAACUUCUUUAGUGUAUGUUUUCUUUGAAAUAAUAUGUUUCUGCAUAAGUAUGCAACAUUACCACAAAAAUGCUGCAAGUCAUAUACUAAAUCGACAAUAGAUACCAUGCAAGCUCGCCUUACUCGUAGGCACAGUGCAUGCUAAACAAGAGGCAAUUUCUAUGGAUCCUAAAGACGUAAUAAAUUCAGAAGUACACACACUAACAAACACCACCUACAAAUUGUAAAAUGUUGUAACCCUUCACCUUCUCACUUCCUAUAGAAUAGCGUCAUACCAGGCCCUUGCCCUUCUCUUUCCUCUGCACUUAACGGGAGAAUAGCUUUCUCUACUCUAGCGAAAACUCGAAGAACAGCACAAUGAUGAGCAAUUUCGAAUAAGAGGAGUUAGAGAAGAGAGACAAAAAAUUCUUUGCAUUGCACUCGAGGAUUCAGCUUUGAUUUAUUUUUAUUCUCGUGUUUAGCUAAGGUGAAAUCACCUUCCAUAAGGGUCCACUCAUCAUUUUCCCUACCCUCUUAUAUCAUCUAAUUAUUACUUAAAUUGGUCAUCAAGUUCCUUUUAUGUUAAACUGCAGUGAGUUUGAGGAACUGGAAGCUGUUCCAACUAUGGCAGUUAUGGAUGGUCCUCUAGAGUCAACUCCCUCAAAUGCUGCUGAUGCUCCUGAAGAUCCUGCUUUUGUGAACUUCUUUAGUGUAUGUUUUCUUUGAAAUAAUAUGUUUCUGCAUAAGUAUGCAACAUUACCACAAAAAUGCUGCAAGUCAUAUACUAUUUCAUAUGUUAUCACUUCUUUUUUGUGUGAGGUUCAACUUCUAUGAAGUACUUGUAUAUGACACCUGUCCUUAUCAUUGCAGACAGCUAUGACUGUGGGGAAUACUUCUAAUGCAGCAAUCUCUGCACAACCUUACCAGUCCAAUACAACUAUUUCUGUACCUUCUCAUCCCGCCAGUGUUGCUUCUCCUAUCGUGCCAACCUUGCAAAUACCAUGCCCACCUCUAUCAGCACCUACCCCUUUAAUGCUACCCAUUGACACCUCUGAAUCUGGCAACUGGAUGCCUAAUCUUGUAAAGCCUUCCUUAUUCUUUGUUGCUCCUCCAUCCUCCUCUGCACAUAUGAUGCAGCCUGUCUCUUCAUCUACACCAACAGCUCCGCCACUUAAUCCUCCCUUGAGUCUGCAAUGCCCAUAUGGUGCCCCAGUGCUUCAACCUUUUCCGCCACCAACCCCUCCACCAUCUCUUACUCCUGCUCUUACUUCAAACAGUGGACCAUUUAUCAGCAAGGAGAAAGUCCGGGAGGCACUGCUGGUGCUUGUUCAGGUUAGGAUUUCUGGUUAUGCAAAUGCUUGAAGCUGGAAUUGCAUCUGACAUGUUCAUGUUUACUGUUAUUAAGAUUAGGGGAACUUUAUCAUACAGCUGGUAUAAUCUUCUUAAUUGCAUAUUGAUAGUAGAUUUAAAGCUAGCAUAUUUAUAUUUGUAUUGUCAGAAAUGCUCUUUGGAUUUCUUAUGUACAAAAAUGCAUUCAUAGCACGCAUUUUAUCCACUCUUUUAAGUGACUUUGAAUUACUGUUUACUUUUUGAUGAUAUCUAAAUUGACAUGUAAAUAAAUUUAUGUUCAUCAGUGGAUUGAACUAUUUUUCACUUAUCCCAGUCUUCAAAAUCAUGAACCCCGCACCACUUUGCCAUGCUUAGAGCGCAAACACUAAUGCGAGACACUUAUUUUUUGUGAUGCAUUUUCAAUUAUUAUUUUUUUCCUUGUAUAUCUGACCAGCUUUUAUAUGUAAUAGGACAAUCAAUUCAUAGAGAUGGUCUAUCGAGCACUGCUGAAUGCACACCAUUCAUGACCAGCUGAAAGUGAUACCAUUAUGUAGCUGCUAGAUUUUGUCUACCAUGUAGCUUUCUGCAAGUGUAUAAAACCCAGUUUGUAUAGUGUUUCAACUCAAAUCAGUAUUUUUUAUGGAAAAAUUAUUGGUAUCAGUAAUUUUUAUGGAAAAAUUAUUGGUAUAUAAUUAUUCUUGUUUCUUUUUGUUAGGGAUGAUGAAAAAACACUUGCAGGAUUUAAAUGUCAUUUUUGGGUUUGAGCUUAUUCUAAGUUACAGGCUUCGAAAGUGUGUUCAUUUAUACCCACAAUUUAGUUAUGCUGGUUAAACAAAAUGAGCUGGGAUAGUUUUUGGAUUCAUGACAUGAAUAAAAUUGGAUUAUUUUGUGCACGGUUUGGUGUGUUAGGUGUGUUUGUUGUGAGGAAGAGGGCAAAAAGAAAAAAAAAAUUGUGGGUUGUGAAAUUUCUUAAAUGAACCUUCUCUUAUUGGUUCUUGUUUGAAAGUUAAAUUGUAAUCGUAAAAGUUGUUUGGAAGCUAAGAAAAUGAUAAAAAAACUUUCUGGGAAACUCUUGACUUUAUUUAAUCUCACGUUAUUACUUACAAAUACAAUCACAACAAUAUUUAUACUAACACUGAUAUCUCAACCAGGAUUACAGUUGAUUAACAACUAGAGAACAGAACGUAAAACAUGAUUAACAGAUUUGUUGAGCUAGCUUCUUUUGUCAAUUAACUGCUGACUCAUCAUUGACACACGUGCUAAGUAUGCAGCUCCCUUUUGUACAUUGUGAGCUUUCUUAACAGCCCCCCUCAAACUUAAGGGCAUUUGAGUUUGCUCUUGAGGUAAUUAAAUUGAGUGAAUGUGAGAGGCCUGGUCAAGAUGUCUGCAAUCUGUUCUUCACGGGGAAUGUAAUUGAUUUCCAGCUCUCUUGCUAACACUUUGUCUCUUAUAAAGUGCAUGUCCAAUUCAAUAUGUUUGGUUCUCGAGUGGUAGACAAGAUUUUUGACCAGCUCAGUUGCACUUAUGUUAUCACACCAGAUUGUGGGCAUUGAAACACAUUCAAUCUUGAGUUUCUUGAAUAAUGACUGUAACCAUGUAAUUUCUGCACUUGCAGAAACAAGAGCUCUGCAUUCACUCUCUACACUAGACCUUGUAACUAUAGAUUGCUUCUUGAAUGACCAAGAUAUCAAGUUAUUUCCCAAGUAAAUACAGUAUGCACCUGUUGAUUUCAUAUCAUCAAUAUCACACGCCCAAUCUGCAUCUGUGAAACCUGUUAACUUUAUUUCUCCAUCAGCUGAAAAUUUCAAUCCAUAGUCUUCUGUUUCUCUCAAAUAUCUAAGCAUUCUCUUAUAGGCUAUGAUAUGUUGUAGUGUAGGUGCAGAACCGUAUUGGCUUAACUUGUUCACUGCAAAAGCUAUCUCUGGCCUGGUCAGAACUAAAUACUGCAGCCCUCCAAUUAAACUUCUAUAACUUGUUGCAUCUUCAACAUGCUGACCAAUCCAUAGUCUUCUGUCUCUUUCAAAUAUCUAAGCAUUCUCUUACAGGCUAGGAUGUGUUGUAGUGUAGGUGCAGAAACAUAUUGACUUAGCUUGUUUACUGCAAAAGCUAUCUCUGGCCUGGUCAGAACUAAAUACUGCAGCCCUCCAAUUAAACUUCUAUAACUUGUUGCAUCUUCAACAUGCUGACCCAAAGAUCCCUUAGCUUCCUUUUGAAGUUUUGUCCCUGUAAUCAUUGGUGUAUCACAUCCUUUGCAGUGAAGCAUAUCAGCUUUACUCAGCAGGUCUCUAAUAUAUUUUCUUUGGGAUAAUUAAAUGUUGUUCUUAGCAUAAGAUACUUCUAUACCCAAAAAAUAUGAGAGUCUUCCCAAAUCUUUCAAUGCAAACACUUUGCUGAAAUCUGAGAUAAACUUUUCAAGUUCAUCACUGUUAGGCCCUGUUAUCAAUAUGUCAUCAACAUAAAUCAAGACUAGUACCAUUAAAUCUUGUUUUCCCUUAAAGAAUAGUGAAGUAUCAGCUCUGGAAUUUUGAAAUCCCCAAUUUGUAACCAAACAACCUUUUAGUUUAUCAAACCAAGCUCUAGGAGCUUGUUUCAACCCAUAUAAAGCCUUCUUCAACUUACAUACAUAACAUGAUCUCUUCUCAUAAAAAAACUUCAGGUUGACACAUGUAGACAUCUUCUGUUAAGUCACCUUUCAGAAAAGCAUUGUUGACAUCUACUUGUCUGAUCAUCCAACUAUGCAUUGCAGCCAAGCUCAAUAUAACCCUCACUGUGGAAGCCUUUAUAACAGGGCUAAAAGUUUCGAAAUAAUCAAUCCCUUCAGUUUGUUGAAAUCCUUUAGCAACCAAUCUAGCUUUGUACUUUGCUAUACUGUCAUCACUAUUUUGUUUGACCCUGAACACCCAUUUGUUUCCAACUAUUUUGCAUUCAGCUGGAGGUGGUACAAGAGACCAAGUCUCAUUCCUGAUCAAAGCUUCAUAUUCUUCUUUUAUGGCCUUAUACCAAUUUCUAUCAUUCAGACCUUCUUGAACUGUGUCAGGUUCUUUGUUGAUCAAGGUGGUUGUAUACAACUUAGGCUUGAAUAUUCCAGACUUUGAUCUGGUAAUCAUUUUGUGUGUGGGUUGUGAGAUCAGAAUUAUGUUUGGAUUAUAUUCAGUGUGUUGCUGAUUGCUUGUUUGUGGUUCGGGUUGUGUUUGAGUAUAUUCAGGGAUUUGAGGGAUAACUUGUGAUGUUGAUGGUUAUGAUAAAGAAUAACUAUAUGAUUCUUGUUGAUGCACAUUAUUUGUAUGCUCAGGCAAUGCAAGAGUUUGUUCAUCACUUGGUACACUUGCUGAGUAAGUAUCUUCAAAGCUGCUGUUGAAUAAGGGUAGAGUUGAAAGAUGAUAGACUUGUUGUUUAGAGAAAUUUGACACUGGUGUUUCUGAUUUGGCAACAUUUUCAGAUGAAGAAGAAACAAAGAUUGUUGUAUAUGGAAAUACACUUUCAUCGAAAACAACAUGUCUAAGGAUAUGAACUUGACCUGAACUUGUGAGACAUUUAUAUCCCUUAUGAGAUGAGCUAUAACCAAUAAAGAUGCACUUACUGCUAUGAAAGUCAAAUUUAUGUCUUUUAAAAUCUCUCAAGUAUGGAUAACAGAGACAACCAAAGCAUUUAAGGAAGCUAUAAUCUGGUUUAUGCUUAAAAAGCUUCUCAUAUGGAGAUAAGAGUUUCAAUACAGGUGUUGGUAAUCUGUUUAUGUGAUACACUGCUGUAUGAACAGCUUUCCACCAGAAUUUAAAAGGAAGAUUAGCUUGAGCUAAAAGAGUCAAAGCUAACUCAAUUAUAUGUCUAUGUUUUCUUUCUACUAGACCAUUUUGAUGAUGUGUGUAAGGGCAUAAAUGUCUGAAAAUGAUCUCAUUCUGGUUUAAAAAAUCAGUAAAAACUCUAUAUUUUCUCCCCCAGUCAGAUUGCAGCAUCUUGACUUUGGUAUUGAACUGAUUCUCUACUUGAAUUUUGAACAAUUUGAAGACUUCAAAAGCUUCUGAUUUGAGUUUGAGUGGGUAAACCCAUAUAUACCUACUAUAAUCAUCUACAAAGCUAAUGUAGUAUUUAAAACCAUUUCUAGAUGUAGUAGGUGAAGGCCCCCAAAGAUCAGUAUGUAUCAGUUCUAAUACUUGAGUUGUUUUGGUUUUGGUUGUAGAAAAAUGUUGCUUGUGAGCUUUUCCUAAUUGACUUGCUUCACAUAUAGAAUGCACAGGAGAUAAAAUUGACUUUUGAGAUACUUUAACUUGUUUACAAGUCUUAAGCAAAUGCACCAAUACUGUUGAGCUUGGAUGACCAAACUUUCUGUAUAACAAGGUAAGUUCAUCAUGUUUCUGGUUACACUUAUUUGAAAUUGAGCUGAAACAAGUCUUAUCAAAACAAUUACAAUGAUGAGAAAUAGAAGACACAUUUGAGCAUGAUAGCAUGGAUAUUGGUUUAUGUGACUGAAGUUAAGAAAGAUGAAAGGCAGGUGAUGUGUGAUAAGCAGAAGAUGACAGAGAAGAAGAUUUAAUCAACAGCUUGUAAAGACCUUUCUUAGCAAGGCCCUGCAGAAGAACUUGCCCCUUCAUGUCCUUAACAUAACAACCAUUUCCAAAAAAUUCAACAGAGAGUGAAUUAUCAAAUGUAAGUUUGAAAAUGCUUAGUAAAUUCUUAGUGAUUGUAGGAACAAGCAACAUAUCUUUAAGUGCUAUAGUGGUGGCAUGUGUGUAAGGAUGUUUUGAAGCUCUAAAUGAUAAAAAUGCAUGACCAAUAUGAGAAAUUGACAGACCUUGACCAUUUUCAAUAAUGAGUUGAUCAGUACCUUUGUAGUCUUCCUUAAAAUGCAAGUUCUCCAUAUUGUUGGUCAAGUGAUGAGUUGCCCCACUAUCCAAAUACCAGCCAUCAUCAGCAAAGCUUUCAAAAUUAGCCACAUAAGCUUCUGCAGGUGCAUAGUUAUCAAUUUCAGAAUAGCAGCUUGUCUCAGAUGCAGGAUGAUUAUCAUAGUUAUCAUAACCUUGAUAUGGACAUAUAAAGCCAUUAAAAUUAGCAAUAUAUGCUGAUUUUGGUCAUUUGCCUCUGUUUAGACUCCUUGAAGAAGGGACAUAAUCCUCCAUAAAUCGAUGCCAGUAAAUAUCAACAGUGUGACCAGGCUUAAAGCAAAUUUGGCAAACCAAUUCUUCUGCAUUGUUUGGAAUUCCUUGAAGUCCAUUCAUACUAGUAACUCCAGUUCGAGCAAAUUGUAUUGGAUUUCUAGGUGCAUGAAAAGAGUUGACAUUAUUUGAGCCAAAUAAGUGUCCUCUUCCAUAUCCACCUCUGUGAUUUCCAUUAAACAUCCUUGGAGACUGAAAAAUAUUUCCUCUUCCAGCAGUAUGAUUUCUACCAGUAUUACCAAAUAAACAUCCUUGGAGACUGAAAAAUAUUUCCUCUUCCAGCAGUAUGAUUUCUACCAGUAUUGCUAAACUGAGCACCGGCAUAUCCUCCUCUUCUAAAAUUAUUUCUUGAUUGAGCAUAGAAUGCCCUUGGAUAAUAGGCAUUUGUAUAAGCAUAAUUUGCAUUAAACAUGCUUUUAUCAUUCUGCUCUUGUUCAAGUCUGGUUUCAUGAGUUAAUAAUAAUGCAUAAGCAUCAUCAUAGUCCAUUUUAGAACCAGUUAUAAAGGUAGCAAUAUCACGAUAGCCUGUUCCUAAGCUAUUAAGAAUUGUCAGCAUGAGAUCUUUCUCUGUUAUAGGACUUCCAGCACUAGCAAGUUUAUUUGCUACAGUUUUCAUUUUGAUGCAGUAGUCUUCAAUACUCAUUGAUUCCUUCCUAAGAGUAUUUAACUCAUAUCUAAGUUGAAGAACCCUAGCUUCAGAUUGCACACCAAAUUUCUUUUCUAAAGUUCUCCAAACAUCAAAAGAGCUUCCACAAUUUAUGACAAGAUUUAGAGUACCUUCACUUAUUGAUGAUAACAUCCAUCCAAGCAAAGUUUGAUCCUGUGACCUCCAAUUCUGAUAUUCUGGAUUAUCAAUUUUCUGAAUAUAUCCAUAAGCUCCAACUUGAGUAAAUUGUUCUUCAGGUGCUGGCUUUGUUCCAUUGAUGAAACCUUCUAAUCGAUUGCCUCUUAUGGAAGCUAAAACUUGAAAACGCCAAAGUAAAUAGUUAGAACGAUCUAGCUUAAUUGGAGUGUUGAAAGAAAAAUUUAUUUGACUUUGUUGAUUUGUUUGCAGAAAAAUUUAUUUGACUUUGUUGAUUUGUUUGCUGAGUACUAGAACUUGCCCUGUUUGGCUCUGAUACCAUGUUUGAAAGUUAAAUUAUAACUGUAAAAGUUAUUUGGAAGCUAAGAAAAUGAUAAGAAAACUUUAUGGGAAACUCCUGACUUUAUUCAAUCUCACGUUAUUACUUACAAAUACAAUCACAACAAUAUUUAUACUAACACUGAUAUCUCAACCAGGAUUACAACUUGGCUAACAACUAGAGAAUAGAACGUAAAACAUGAUUAACAGAUUUGCUGAGCUAGCUUCUUUUCUCAACUAACUGUUAACUCAUCAUUGACACACACGUGCUAAAUAUGCAGCUCCCUUUUGUACAUUGUGAGCUUCCUCAACAGUUCUUGUAUAGAGCUGGGUUACCAUCAGAAAUAAAGGAGGAAAUGAAUCGAUUACUAUAACUCCCAAGGCGAUAAUUGCUACCUAAAUCCCCACUAGCAUAUAACAAAUAAAGAGUUGCAAAUCUGAUAGUUAUUCCAAGUUCUAGUUAUCCUCUAUAAGUUGAGCUACCCAUUACUCUCACCCUGGACUAUAAUUUUUUUUAUUUUAAGUUUGUCCCAGUUUCCUUAAAGUGUAGUCUCGUCGCCUGCAUUUAACUUUCAUCUGGACCUGAAAUCUCAACCGUCAAGUUUAAUAGAGAACUUACACACACUCCAGAGGGCGUAAGUUAAUCUUCAUUCAGAUCGUGUAAAAAAGAGACCUUUUGCCUGUUAUGAUGUGUAAAAGUAGAGCCCCAAAUCUGUUAGUUUUGGCUGCCAUCUAAAGAAAUUCCUACUGCGAAUGGUUAAAAAUUUCAUUAACUGUAUAUAUACAACCGAAUAGCAGCAAUGAAAUUACUAAGUUGUUCUUGGACAAAUUGCAUCAAAUACUUUUAUUGAGUUAUUAUUCCAUGCAUGCAAAAGAAAAUUCUUUUAAAAUUACAUAUAAGUUGUAAUGUAAGGAAAUUACAUCCAUCCACGAUAGAAUCUUCUAGGAAUAAGAUUAUCUGCUACAAAAUAAUAACAAGAGGUCAUACACACUUCAACAAGGUAAAACCAUCUUCGCCGCCAGUAGGGGUUUAUGUACAAAACUCCAAUAAUUCCUAUUAUCACAAUUCCAUAAGAUACUGUAAAAGUGAUCAGGAAACUGUCCGUGUCAAUUAAACUAUCACCUUCAUUUUCGGUGGAAGCUUCUGGUGUCACUGUUGUCAAUCCAUUAUCAUUGCAACUUUUGGACAGUGGUUGUCCACAAAGAAAAGGAUUCCCUUCAUAGCUAUCUUCCUCGAAAGUUGAAAAUUGUGCUCUAUCUGGAAUUUUACCAGAUAAGUUAUUGUAUGCUACUUUGAAAACCUCCAAUGUAUUUAGCACAAUGAGUUGAGGAGGGAUUUUCCCAUGCAGUAGGUUGUAGGAGAGGUCCAAGCUUUCGAUUUGCUUCAGGUUUGAAAAUGUUGUCGGGAUUGUGCCCGUCAAAUUGUUAUGAGAUAGAUUUAGUGCAUGAAUCCUAGUAAGAUAUCCAAUUUGAGUAGGAAUCUCACCUGUCAGUUUGUUACAAGAAAGAUCAAUCCCAGACAUACUCGUCAAAAUUCUUCCUUGAUAAUAGUAGGACAUAUUCUUUGUUGUAAACUGUACAGUUUCUUCCUUUCCCAUCGGAGGUGAACUUUGACCAGGCAGACAUGCAGAUCUAUAGACAGACGCUCGACGACACCAAAUAGAAGUUGGAGCUACUUCCCCAUGAUAACCUUCAUUGAGUGAAGUGUUAACCAAGCAAGGAGGAAUACGCCCGGAUAGAUUAUUAUGAGAAAGAUCAAUCAACCGCACUUCCUUCAACUGGCAUAAUUGAACAGGUAUUUCGCCUUUAAUAUAAUUAUGAGCUAAAAGAAGGUAGUUUAACUGAGGUAGUCUGUCAAUCCGAUUUGGAAUACUUCCGUGUAAGCUGUUAUAACUAAGAUCUAAUGUCACUAAAUGAGGGUUGUCAUGGAUUAUACUUUCCAGCCGUCCUUCUAUCUUGUUUUUUGACAAAUGAACUUGUU